rnacentral:lncRNA from 1 species
GUCCAGACUUUUUUCAAAUAGGACAUGUAGUUUGUCUGCAGCGAGCGUUUUGGUAGAAACUGCGCCUCCCAUUCAUUAUAAUGGGAAAUGACCACAGACAAGUGCGCACACCAUCUUUGGACCUUGAGUGUGACGCGAUCGGGAGGGGGAGGCGGUCGCGCUGGGGGCGGCGCGACGCGGCUCGGGCCCGACAGUGCCCCACCGGGGCCCUAGUUCUUUCUUUUUUCUUUUUCCUCCCCUUUGAACUGGAAAAUGGCCCACUUCCCACUGGCGAAAACUCAUGAAAUUUGGCAGGACGACCGGGCCUGGUGAAAAAUUUGAUAUUCUGAAGUCGCCAAAACAAUAAAAUGCAAAAUGGCUCCAUAGCGCCCCCUAAGGUGAAAAUUCACACUAUUCACUGUCACGACUGUACGCUUUGUCAAAAUGACACAAAAAUUGACACACACAUGUAUCUCAAUAAGAUCUACGAAAAAGUCAGUGCGGCCGUAUCUGUCAAAAUUACGGUUAAAGGGUUAUUUCGCAUUUUUUGCCGAUCUGCACACAUUGGAAUUUCGCUAACUCCUCCGAAGGCUUUCGUUCCACCGGCACCACAUUUGCUCAGGCCAAUCUACACCCCGUGGCCAUUAAAAGUUAUCAAAAUCAUGACGCUGCACCCCAAGGUUUAGGUUCUAGGGGGCGCCAAAGAUAACACUAAAAUCCACAUAUUUAAAAGUCUUAUAACUUUUUAUUUUUGUCCUCACUGGCCUCCAAGUUUUCUAGGAUGAUGCAAUGUCCAGCCAUCAACACAUUUGUGAAGGAAUUUUUACUCCCCAAAAGAGCGCCCCCCCAUGGCAGGAGAAAAAAGUCCAUUUUUUCUUGUCCCCUAAGGUGAAAAUACACAUUGUUGAGUGUCACGCCUAUACGCUUUGUCAAAAUGACACAAAAAUUGACACACACAUGUAACUCAAUAAGAUCUACGAAAAAGUCAAUGCGCGCGUAUCUGUCAAAUGUACGGUUAAAGGGUUAUUCCGCAUUUUUUGCCGAUCCGCACACAUUGGAAUGUGGCUAACUCCUCCUAAGGCUUUCGUUCCACCGGCACCACAUUUGCUCAGGCCAAUCUACACCCCAUGGCCAUUAAAAGUUAUCAAAAUCAUGACGCUGCACCCCACGGUUUAGGUUCUAGGGGGCGCCAAAGAUAACCCUAAAAUCCACAUAUUUAAAAGCCUUAUAACUUUUUAUUUUUGUCCUCACUGGCCUCCAAGUUUUCUAGGAUGAUGCAAUGUCCAGCCAUCAACACAUUUGUGAAGGAAUUUUUACUCCCCAAAAGAGCGCCCCCCCAUGGCAGGAGAAAAAAGUCCAUUUUUUCUUGUCCCCUAAGGUGAAAAUACACAUUGUUGAGUGUCACGCCUAUACGCUUUGUCAAAAUGACACAAAAAUUGACACACACAUGUAACUCAAUAAGAUCUACGAAAAAGUCAAUGCGCGCGUAUCUGUCAAAUGUACGGUUAAAGGGUUAUUCCGCAUUUUUUGCCGAUCCGCACACAUUGGAAUGUGGCUAACUCCUCCUAAGGCUUUCGUUCCACCGGCACCACAUUUGCUCAGGCCAAUCUACACCCCAUGGCCAUUAAAAGUUAUCAAAAUCAUGACGCUGCACCCCACGGUUUAGGUUCUAGGGGGCGCCAAAGAUAACCCUAAAAUCCACAUAUUUAAAAGCCUUAUAACUUUUUAUUUUUGUCCUCACUGGCCUCCAAGUUUUCUAGGAUGAUGCAAUGUCCAGCCAUCAACAAAUUUGUGAAGGAAUUUUUACUCCCCAAAAGAGCGCCAUGGCAGGAGAAAAAAGUCCAUUUUUUCUUGUCCCCUCAGGUGAAAAUACAUAUUGUUGAGAUUCACGCCUAUACGCUUUGUCAUAUUGACACAAAAUUUGACAAUCACGUGCCUUGCCUGGUAUCAUUUUUUUCAGCACAACCUCACCUGUGCGAAUUUACAGUUAUUUUAUCAUGUUGACAUACUGAAUUUACACAAUGGACCCAAAUUCACACACAAAACAUAAAAUCCGAGUGGAAAAAAGUAACAUUUUUACUGUGAAAACCACAAAUAUGUGUGAUGAACUGUUUUUAAAACUUAAACUUCAAAUAAAAAUUGUAAACUUCAAAACAUAUGCAAAUUUUUAACAAAGAACAUAGUGAUUUACCUCUAUUUACAUCAAAAUGCAGGCAAUGGCCCAGGCGUUCUUUGUAAAAUUAUUUACAAAACACUGUAUAGUCUCACAAAUGUCACUUUUUAUUUAUGCCACUACAAAAAAACAUGAUGUAAAUGAUGCAUGAUGUAAAACAUGAUGUAAAAAACUUGUGUAGAUCCUCCUGUAUGUCAGUCCAUGUGUAAUUUUUCCAUAAUUCUUUGUUUUUUGCAGCAUUUUUGUUAGUGUAACUGCAGAUUGUGCUGACAGUGUCUAUGGCACAAAAAAAAAAAAUUAAAAUGCCUCAACAUGAACCCCUGGUGGUCUCUGAGGGUGAAACCUGCUAACUGCUGCAGCUCUGUCAGCUUCAGUCUCCCAUGCAGAGCUCUGAGCGCAUGUGUGGCUCUGCACCCUUAGCAGCGUUGCUAACUCCUCAGUAAGGAAAGCCUGCUUCAUGUCAGAGUCUCUAAACUCCAGUAGAAGUCGAUAAAAGUCCCUUUCUUUCUAAAAAAAAGUCGUUAGGGGGUCUGAAAAGUCAUUGAAUCUAACAACAAAGUCGCUAGGUUUGCAACUACGUGUCCCAGACUGCAUCCCUGCUGAGAGUCCCUCCCUCCCUUCUCAUGUUGCAGGAAGAACGUAAGCGCCCGCCCCUUGUCAAUCAGUCACCAUAUAAUUUUGGAUUGGUUGUUGUGGUGAAGUUUUCCACCAAUAGGAGAGAUGUUGUGGUGUGUUUUUUUUUCUUUUGGCAAGCCUUUUCCGCCUGUAAGACCUGUCGCUAAUGUCUGCAUGCUAUGUUUUCCUGUCUCAUACAGCGCGAUCGAGCGCCGAACGUGAUCAAAAUAAGCAGAAAAAAAGUAUCGCGGACAUAAUUUAUCAUAACUCUGGUUUUAUUUGGCCUAUCAACACAAUUUAAAAACUGGUAUAUAGGUUGAGGUCCUCACUUUUGAGAUAAGUUGAAACGGAGAGUCAACGAGGCUCCGUCUUGCAGCUACAUCCGGUUAAAUAUGUCAUGUGACUUGAACGCACACACAGACACACACACGCACACACACACACACACACACACACACUCAGAGUCUGGUUUUUAGCACCUGCAAAAACAUGCUAUUUACAUAUUUGACAAGAAUGCAGAGGCUCCUUUUGCCCCUGAAAAAAAUGAAAUUUCAAACACAACUUGACUGCUCAUUUCUCCAAAAGACAACCAUGAAGCUCCAUCCAAACCUGAAGCAGGCAGUUGGUGCAUGUGUACAGUAACCUGAGGGGAGUGAGGUGAGUGCUUCUGAGGAGAACAUGAGCAGUGAAGAUUCACCUUUGAGCUAGAACAGAGACAUGCACAUGAUUAUACAGGGGCAGGGGCUCAAGUUUUUUCCAGUCGUUUAUACAAUAUGGAAAUUAAUGUGAAACUAGGACCCCGUUGGGGCACUGGCGGGCCCGAGCCGUGUCGCGUCCCCCCCCCAACGUGCUGCCUCCCCGUCCCAUUUGUGUCCUCUGGCCAUCGCCCUCUCUGGUAACGCCCAUCACUGCAAAGACCCUUUUCCUUCAUCGGCGUUUGCUGUUCUUCCUGCCAGUGCGUGUUGCUUUCACUUACACUUGCCACAGCCAGCCUCGUGAGUGCCUAGCCUAUUGGAUAUCACUGUCACCUACACAGGACAGUCAUUACCUUUCUAUAAAUACUUUGUGUUUUAAUUUCACAUUAAUUUCCAUAUUGUAUAAACGACUGGAAAAAACUUGAGCCCCUGCCCCUGUAUAAUCAUGUGCAUGUCUCUGUUCUAGCUCCAAGGUGAAUCUUCACUGCUCAUGUUCUCCUCAGAAGCACUCACCUCACUCCCCUCAGGUUACUGUACACAUGCACCAACUGCCUGCUUCAGGUUUGGAUGGAGCUUCAUGGUUGUCUUUUGGAGAAAUGACCAGUCAAGUUGUGUUUGAAAUUUGAUUUUUUUCAGGGGCAAAAGGAGCCUCUGCAUUCUUGUCAAAUAUGUAAAUAGCAUGUUUUUGCAGGUGCUAAAAACCAGACUCUGAGUGUGUGUGUGUGUCUGUGUGUGUGUGUGUGUGUGUGUGUGUGUGUGUGUGUGUGCGUUUGUGUGUGUCUAUGUGUGCGUUCAAAUCACAUGACAUAUUUAACCGGAUGUAGCUGCAAGACGGAGCCUCGUUGACUCUCCGUUUCAACUUAUCUCAAAAGUGAGGACCUCAACCUAUAUACCAGUUUUUAAAUUGUGUUGAUAGGCCAAAUAAAACCAGAGUUAUGAUAAAUUAUGUCCGCGAUACUUUUUUUCUGCUUAUUUUGAUCACGUUCGGCGCUCGAUCGCGCUGUAUGAGACAGGAAAACAUAGCAUGCAGACAUUAGCGACAGGUCUUACAGGCGGAAAAGGCUUGCCAAAGGAAAAAAAAAACACACCACAACAUCUCUCCUAUUGGUGGAAAACUUCACCACAACAACCAAUCCAAAAUUAUAUGGUGACUGAUUGACAAGGGGCGGGCGCUUACGUUCUUCCUGCAACAUGAGAAGGGAGGGAGGGACUCUCAGCAGGGAUGCAGUCUGGGACACGUAGUUGCAAACCUAGCGACUUUGUUGUUAGAUUCAAUGACUUUUCAGACCCCUUAACGACUUUUUUUUAGAAAGAAAGUGACUUUUAUCGACUUCUUCUGGAGUUUAGAGACUCUGACAUGAAGCAGGCUUUCCUUACUGAGGAGUUAGCAACGCUGCUAAGGGUGCAGAGCCACACAUGCACUCAGAGCUCUGCAUGGGAGACUGAAGCUGACAGAGCUGCAGCAGUUAGCAGGUUUCACCCUCAGAGACCACCAGGGGUUCAUGUUGAGGCAUUUUAAUUUUUUUUUUUUUUGUGCCAUAGACACUGUCAGCACAAUCUGCAGUUACACUAACAAAAAUGCUGCAAAAAACAAAGAAUUAUGGAAAAAUUACACAUGGACUGACAUAGAGGAGGAUCUACACAAGUUUUUUACAUCAUGUUUUACAUCAUGCAUCAUUUACAUCAUGUUUUUUUGUAGUGGCAUAAAUAAAAAGUGACAUUUGUGAGACUAUACAGUGUUUUGUAAAUAAUUUUACAAAGAACGCCCUGGGCCAUUGCCUGCAUUUUGAUGUAAAUAGAGGUAAAUUACUAUGUUCUUUGUUAAAAAUUUGCAUAUGUUUUGAAGUUUACAAUUUUUAUUUGAAGUUUAAGUUUUAAAAACAGUUCAUCACACAUAUUUGUGGUUUAAUUUCACAUUAAUUUCCAUAUUGUAUAAAUGACUGGAAAAAACUUGAGCCCCUGCCCCUGUAUAAUCAUGUGCACGUCCCUGUUCUAGCUCCAAGGUGAAUCUUCACUGCUCAUGUUCUCCUCAGAAAUAGUCACCUCACUCCCCUCAGGUUACUGUACACAUGCACCAACUAUCUGCUUCAGGUUUGAAAUGGAGCUUCAUGGUUGUCUUUUGGAGAAAUGAACAGUCAAGUUGUGUUUGAAAUUUGAUUUUUUUCAGGGGCAAAAGGAAGCCUCUGCAUUCUUGUCAAAUAUGUAAACAGCAUGUUUUUGCAGGUGCUAAAAAACAGACUCUGAGUGUGUGUGUGUGUCUGUGUGUGUGUGUGUGUGUGUGUGUGUGUGUGUAUGUUGGCGUGUGUGUAUAUGUGUGUGUAUCCUGCAGUACUCUGUACUCCUGCAGUGGCCAAAAAGACUUUUAAGAAUGUGGAUUUUUGGGUCAUCUUUGGCGCCCCCUAGAACUGCAGUACUCUGUACUCCUGCAGUGGCCAAAAUGACUUUUAAGAAUGUGGAUUUUUGGGUCAUCUUUGGCGCCCCCUAGAACGUAAACCGUGGGGUGCAGCGUCAUGAUUUUUACAACUUUGAAUGACCAUGGGGUGUAGAUUGGCCUGAGCAAAUUUGGUGUCAGUGGGACGAAAGCCUUAGGAGGAGUUAGCCACAUUCCAAUGUGUGCGAAUCGGCAAAAAAUGCAAAAUAGCCCUUUAACCGUACAUUUGACAGAUACGCGCGCAUUGACUUUUUUGUAGAUCUUAUUGAGAUACAUGUGUGUGUCAAAUUUUGUGUCAAUAUGAUAAAGCGUACAGGCGUGACAGUCAAUAGUGUGAAUUUUCACCUUAGGGGGCGCUAUGGAGCCAUUUUGCAUUUUCUUGUUUGGGCGACUUCGGAAUAUCAAAUUUUUCACCAGGCCCGGUCGUCCUGCCAAAUUUCAUGAGUUUUCGCCAGUGGGAAGUGGGCCAUUUUCCAGUUCAAAGGGGAGGAAAAAUAAUAAUAACAAAAGAAGGAAACUACAGGAACAAGAGGGCUCUCGCAGCUGCUUAGCAGCUACGCUCGGGCCCUAAAAACCACUUGGGGAAUAAUAGGGCUCUCGCAGCUGCUUAGCAGCUACGCUCGGGCCCUAAUAACUAGGGCCCCGUUGGGGCACUGGCGGGCCCGAGCCGUGUCGCACCCCCCCCCCCCCCCCCCCAACGCGCUGCCUCCCCGUCCCAUUCGUGUCCUCUGGCCAUCGCCCUCUCUGGUAACGCCCAUCACUGCAAAGACCCUUUUCCUUCAUCGGCGUUUGCUGUUCUUCCUGCCAGUGCGUGUUGCUUUCACUUACACUUGCCACAGCCAGCCUCGUGAGUGCCUAGCCUAUUGGAUAUCACUGUCACCUACACAGGACAGUCAUUACCUUUCUAUUAAUACUUUGUUUUUUAAUUUCACAUUAAUUUCCAUAUUGUAUAAACGACUGGAAAAAACUUGAGCCCCUGCCCCUGUAUUAUCAUGUGCACGUCCCUGUUCUAGCUCCAAGGUGAAUCUUCACUGCUCAUGUUCUCCUCAGAAGCAGUCACCUCACUCCCCUCAGGUUACUGUACACAUGCACCAACUGCCUGCUUCAGGUUUGGAUGGAGCUUCAUGGUUGUCUUUUGGAGAAAUGAGCAGUCAAGUCGUGUUUGAAAUUUGAUUUUUUUCAGGGGCAAAAGGAAGCCUCUGCAUUCUUGUCAAAUAUGUAAAUAGCACGUUUUUGCAGGUGCUAAAAAACAGACUCUGAGUGUGUGUGUGUGUGUGUGUGUGCGUGUGUGUGUGUGUGUCUGUGUGUGUGUGUGUGUGUAUCCUGCAGUACUCUGAGAAGAAUAAUAAGCAUAUUUCUGAGGUGAAUUUUGAAGAUUCAUCUGAGAGUUAGGUUUGAUUCGAUUCGAUUGACGCUCCCCAGCGUUCAAGUCACAUGACAUAUUUAAUGCUGCUACGGAUGUAGCUGCAAGACGGAGCCUCGUUAACUCUCCGUUUCAACUUAUCUCAAAAGUGAGGACCUUAACCUAUAUACCAGUUUUUAAAUUGUGUUGAUAGGCCAAAUAAAACCAGAGUUAUGAUAAAUUAUGUCCGCGAUACUUUUUUUCUGCUUAUUUUGAUCACGUUCGGCGCUCGAUCGCGCUGUAUGAGACAGGAAAACAUAGCAUGCAGACAUUAGCGACAGGUCUUACAGGCGGAAAAGGCUUGCCAAAAGAAAAAAAAAACACACUACAACAUCUCUCCUAUUGGUGGAAAACUUCACCACAACAACCAAUCCAAAAUUAUAUGGUGACUGAUUGACAAGGGGCGGGCGCUUACGUUCUUCCUGCAACAUGAGAAGGGAGGGAGGGACUCUCAGCAGGGAUGCAGUCUGGGACACGUAGUUGCAAACCUAGCGACUUUGUUGUUAGAUUCAAUGACUUUUCAGACCCCCUAACGACUUUUUUUUAGAAAGAAAGGGACUUUUAUCGACUUCUACUGGAGUUUAGAGACUCUGACAUGAAGCAGGCUUUCCUUACUGAGGAGUUAGCAACGCUGCUAAGGGUGCAGAGCCACACAUGCGCUCAGAGCUCUGCAUGGGAGACUGAAGCUGACAGAGCUGCAGCAGUUAGCAGGUUUCACCCUCAGAGACCACCAGGGGUUCAUGUUGAGGCAUUUUCAGUUUUUUUUUUUUUUGCCAUAGACUGUCAGCACAAUCUGCAGUUACACUAACAAAAAUGCUGCAAAAAACAAAGAAUUAUGGAAAAAUUACACAUGGACUGACAUAGAGGAGGAUCUACACAAGUUUUUUACAUCAUGUUUUACAUCAUGCAUCAUUUACAUCAUGUUUUUUUGUAGUGGCAUAAAUAAAAAGUGACAUUUGUGAGACUAUACAGUGUUUUGUAAAUAAUUUUACAAAGAACGCCUGGGCCAUUGCCUGCAUUUUGAUGUAAAUAGAGGUAAAUUACUAUGUUCUUUGUUAAAAAUUUGCAUAUGUUUUGAAGUUUACAAUUUUUAUUUGAAGUUUAAGUUUUAAAAACAGUUCAUCACACAUAUUUGUGGUUUAAUUUCACAUUAAUUUCCAUAUUGUAUAAAUGACUGGAAAAAACUUGAGCCCCUGCCCCUGUAUAAUCAUGUGCACGUCCCUGUUCUAGCUCCAAGGUGAAUCUUCACUGCUCAUGUUCUCCUCAGAAAUAGUCACCUCACUCCCCUCAGGUUACUGUACACAUGCACCAAUUAUCUGCUUCAGGUUUGAAAUGGAGCUUCAUGGUUGUCUUUUGGAGAAAUGAACAGUCAAGUUGUGUUUGAAAUUUGAUUUUUUUCAGGGGCAAAAGGAAGCCUCUGCAUUCUUGUCAAAUAUGUAAACAGCAUGUUUUUGCAGGUGCUAAAAAACAGACUCUGAGUGUGGGUGUGUGUCUGUGUGUGUGUGUGUGUGUGUGUGUGUGUGUGUGUAUGUUGGCGUGUGUGUAUAUGUGUGUGUAUCCUGCAGUACUCUGUACUCCUGCAGUGGCCAAAAAGACUUUUAAGAAUGUGGAUUUUUGGGUCAUCUUUGGCGCCCCCUAGAACUGCAGUACUCUGUACUCCUGCAGUGGCCAAAAUGACUUUUAAGAAUGUGGAUUUUUGGGUCAUCUUUGGCGCCCCCUAGAACGUAAACCGUGGGGUGCAGCGUCAUGAUUUUUACAACUUUGAAUGGGCAUGGGGUGUAGAUUGCCCUGAGCAAAUUUGGUAUCGGUGGGACGAAAGCCUUAGGAGGAGAUAGCCACAUUCCAAUGUGUGCGAAUCGGCAAAAAAUGCAAAAUAGCCCUUUAACCGUACAUUAUACAGAUACGCGCUCUUUGACUUUUUCGUAGAUCUAAUUGAGAUACACAUGAUUGUCAAUUUUUGUGUCAAUAUGACAAAGCGUUCAGGCGUGACACUCAACAAUGUGUAUUUUUAUGUAAGGGGACAAGAAAAAAUUGACUUUUUUCUCCUACCAUGGGGGGGCGCUCUUUUGGGGAGUAAAAAUUCCUUCACAAAUGUGUUGAUGGCUGGACAUUGCAUCAUCCUAGAAAACUUGGAGGCCAGUGAGGACAAAAAUAAAAAGUUAUAAAACAUUUAAGAAUGUGGAUUUUUGGGUUAUUUUUGGCGCCCCCUAGAACCUAAACCAUGGGGUGCAGCAUCAUGAUUUGAAUAACUUUUAAUGGCCAUGGGGUGUAGAUUGGCCUGAGCAAAUGUGGUGCCGGUGGAACGAAAGCCUUCGGAGGAGUUAGCGAAAUUCCAAUGUGUGCGUAUCGGCAAAAAAUGCGGAAUAACCCUUUAACUGUACAUUUGAUAGAUACGCGCGCAUGGACUUUUUUGUAGAUCUUAUUGAGUUACAUGUGUGUGUCAAUUUUUGUGUCAUUUUGACAAAGCGUAUAGGCGUGACACUCAACAAUGUGUAUUUUCACCUUAGGGGACAAGAAAAAAUGGACUUUUUUCUCCUGCCAUGGGGGGGCGCUCUUUUGGGGAGUAAAAAUUCCUUCACAAAUGUGUUGAUGGCUGGACAUUGCAUCAUCCUAGAAAACUUGGAGGCCAGUGAGGACAAAAAUAAAAAGUUAUAAGACUUUUAAAUAUGUGGAUUUUAGUGUUAUCUUUGGCGCCCCCUAGAACCUAAACCUUGGGGUGCAGCGUCAUGAUUUUGAUAACUUUUAAUGGCCAUGGGGUGUAGAUUGGCCUGAGCAAAUGUGGUGCCGGUGGAACGAAAGCCUUCGGAGGAGUUAGCGAAAUUCCAAUGUGUGCGGAUCGGCAAAAAAUGCGAAAUAACCCUUUAACCGUAAUUUUGACAGAUACGGCCGCACUGACUUUUUUGUAGAUCUUAUUGAGAUACAUAUGUGUGUCAAUUUUUGUGUCAAUAUGACAAAGCGUACAGGCGUGACAGUCAAUAGUGUGAAUUUCCACCUUAGGGGGCGCUAUGGAGCCAUUUUGCAUUUUAUUGUUUGGGCGACUUCAGAAUAUCGAAUUUUUCACCAGGCCCGGUCGUCCUGCCAAAUUUGAUGAGUUUUCGCCAGUGGGAAGUGGGCCAUUUUCCAGUUCAAAGGGGAGGAAAAAGAAGAAAGAAAGAAAGAAAGAAAGAAACAAAGAACUAGGACCCCGUUGGGGCACUGGCGGGCCCGAGCCGUGUCGCGUCCCCCCCCCCAACGUGCUGCCUCCCCGUCCCAUUUGUGUCCUCUGGCCAUCGCCCUCUCUGGUAACGCCCAUCACUGCAAAGACCCUUUUCCUUCAUCGGCGUUUGCUGUUCUUCCUGCCAGUGCGUGUUGCUUUCACUUACACUUGCCACAGCCAGCCUCGUGAGUGCCUAGCCUAUUGGAUAUCACUGUCACCUACACAGGACAGUCAUUACCUUUCUAUUAAUACUUUGUGUUUUAAUUUCACAUUAAUUUCCAUAUUGUAUAAACGACUGGAAAAACCUUGAGCCCCUGCCCCUGUAUAAUCAUGUGCAUGUCUCUGUUCUAGCUCCAAGGUGAAUCUUCACUGCUCAUGUUCUCCUCAGAAGCACUCACCUCACUCCCCUCAGGUUACUGUACACAUGCACCAACUGCCUGCUUCAGGUUUGGAUGGAGCUUCAUGGUUGUCUUUUGGAGAAAUGACCAGUCAAGUUGUGUUUGAAAUUUGAUUUUUUUCAGGGGCAAAAGGAGCCUCUGCAUUCUUGUCAAAUAUGUAAAUAGCAUGUUUUUGCAGGUGCUAAAAACCAGACUCUGAGUGUGUGUGUGUGUGUGUGUGUGUGUGUGUGUGUGUGUGUGUGUGUGUGCGUGUGUGUGUGUCUGUGUGUGCGUUCAAGUCACAUGACAUAUUUAACCGGAUGUAGCUGCAAGACGGAGCCUCGUUGACUCUCCGUUUCAACUUAUCUCAAAAGUGAGGACCUCAACCUAUAUACCAGUUUUUAAAUUGUGUUGAUAGGCCAAAUAAAACCAGAGUUAUGAUAAAUUAUGUCCGCGAUAUUUUUUUUCUGCUUAUUUUGAUCACGUUCGGCGCUCGAUCGCGCUGUAUGAGACAGGAAAACAUAGCAUGCAGACAUUAGCGACAGUUCUUACAGGCGGAAAAGGCUUGCCAAAAGAAAAAAAAAACACACCACAACAUCUCUCCUAUUGGUGGAAAACUUCACCACAACAACCAAUCCAAAAUUAUAUGGUGACUGAUUGACAAGGGGGGCGCUUACGUUCUUCCUGCAACAUGAGAAGGGAGGGAGGGACUCUCAGCAGGGAUGCAGUCUGGGACACGUAGUUGCAAACCUAGCGACUUUGUUGUUAGAUUCAAUGACUUUUCAGACCCCCUAACGACUUUUUUUUAGAAAGAAAGGGACUUUUAUCGACUUCUUCUGGAGUUUAGAGACUCUGACAUGAAGCAGGCUUUCCAUACUGAGGAGUUAGCAACGCUGCUAAGGGUGCAGAGCCACACAUGCGCUCAGAGCUCUGCAUGGGAGACUGAAGCUGACAGAGCUGCAGCAGUUAGCAGGUUUCACCCUCAGAGACCACCACGGGUUCAUGUUGAGGCAUUAAAAAUUUUUUUUUUUUUUGUGCUAUAGACACUGUCAGCACAAUCUGCAGUUACACUAACAAAAAUGCUGCAAAAAACAAAGAAUUAUGGAAAAAUUACACAUGGACUGACAUAGAGGAGGAUCUACACAAGUUUUUUACAUCAUGUUUUACAUCAUGCAUCAUUUACAUCAUGUUUUUUUGUAGUGGCAUAAAUAAAAAGUGACAUUUGUGAGACUAUACAGUGUUUUGUAAAUAAUUUUACAAAGAACGCCUGGGCCAUUGCCUGCAUUUUGAUGUAAAUAGAGGUAAAUUACUAUGUUCUUUGUUAAAAAUUUGCAUAUGUUUUGAAGUUUACAAUUUUUAUUUGAAGUUUAAGUUUUAAAAACAGUUCAUCACACAUAUUUGUGGUUUAAUUUCACAUUAAUUUCCAUAUUGUAUAAAUGACUGGAAAAAACUUGAGCCCCUGCCCCUGUAUAAUCAUGUGCACGUCCCUGUUCUAGCUCCAAGGUGAAUCUUCACUGCUCAUGUUCUCCUCAGAAAUAGUCACCUCACUCCCCUCAGGUUACUGUACACAUGCACCAACUAUCUGCUUCAGGUUUGAAAUGGAGCUUCAUGGUUGUCUUUUGGAGAAAUGAACAGUCAAGUUGUGUUUGAAAUUUGAUUUUUUUCAGGGGCAAAAGGAAGCCUCUGCAUUCUUGUCAAAUAUGUAAACAGCAUGUUUUUGCAGGUGCUAAAAAACAGACUCUGAGUGUGUGUGUGUGUCUGUGUGUGUGUGUGUGUGUGUGUGUGUGUGUGUAUGUUGGCGUGUGUGUAUAUGUGUGUGUAUCCUGCAGUACUCUGUACUCCUGCAGUGGCCAAAAAGACUUUUAAGAAUGUGGAUUUUUGGGUCAUCUUUGGCGCCCCCUAGAACUGCAGUACUCUGUACUCCUGCAGUGGCCAAAAUGACUUUUAAGAAUGUGGAUUUUUGGGUCAUCUUUGGCGCCCCCUAGAACGUAAACCGUGGGGUGCAGCGUCAUGAUUUUUACAACUUUGAAUGGGCAUGGGGUGUAGAUAGCCCUGAGCAAAUUUGGUAUCGGUGGGACGAAAGCCUUAGGAGGAGAUAGCCACAUUCCAAUGUGUGCGAAUCGGCAUAAAAUGCAAAAUAGCCCUUUAACCGUACAUUAUACAGAUACGCGCUCUUUGACUUUUUCGUAGAUCUAAUUGAGAUACACAUGAUUGUCAAAUUUUGUGUCAAUAUGACAAAGCGUUCAGGCGUGACACUCAACAAUGUGUAUUUUUAUGUAAGGGGACAAGAAAAAAUUGCCUUUUUUCUCCUACCAUGGGUGGGCGCUCUUUUGGGGAGUAAAAAUUCCUUCACAAAUGUGUUGAUGGCUGGACAUUGCAUCAUCCUAGAAAACUUGGAGGCCAGUGAGGACAGAAAUAAAAAGUUAUAAAACAUUUAAGAAUGUGGAUUUUUGGGUUAUCUUUGGCGCCCCCUAGAACCUAAACCAUGGGGUGCAGCAUCAUGAUUUGAAUAACUUUUAAUGGCCAUGGGGUGUAGAUUGGCCUGAGCAAAUGUGGUGCCGGUGGAACGAAAGCCUUCGGAGGAGUUAGCGAAAUUCCAAUGUGUGCGUAUCGGCAAAAAAUGCGGAAUAACCCUUUAACUGUACAUUUGACAGAUACGCGCGCACUGACUUUUUUGUAGAUCUUAUUGAGUUACAUGUGUGUGUCAAUUUUUGUGUCAUUUUGACAAAGCGUAUAGGCGUGACACUCAACAAUGUGUAUUUUCACCUUAGGGGACAAGAAAAAAUUGACUUUUUUCUCCUGCCAUGGGGGGGCGCUCUUUUGGGGAGUAAAAAUUCCUUCACAAAUGUGUUGAUGGCUGGACAUUGCAUCAUCCUAGAAAACUUGGAGGCCAGUGAGGACAAAAAUAAAAAGUUAUAAGACUUUUAAAAAUGUGGAUUUUAGGGUUAUCUUUGGCGCCCCCUAGAACCUAAACCUUGGGGUGCAGCGUCAUGAUUUUGAUAACUUUUAAUGGCCACGGGGUGUAGAUUGGCCUGAGCAAAUGUGGUGCCGGUGGAACGAAAGCCUUUGGAGGAGUUAGCGAAAUUCCAAUGUGUGCGGAUCGGCAAAAAAUGCGAAAUAACCCUUUAACCGUAAUUUUGACAGAUACGGCCGCACUGACUUUUUUGUAGAUCUUAUUGAGAUACAUAUGUGUGUCAAUUUUUGUGUCAUUUUGACAAAGCGUACAGGCGUGACAGUCAAUAGUGUGAAUUUCCACCUUAGGGGGCGCUAUGGAGCCAUUUUGCAUUUUAUUGUUUGGGCGACUUCAGAAUAUCGAAUUUUUCACCAGGCCCGGUCGUCCUGCCAAAUUUCAUGAGUUUUCGCCAGUGGGAAGUGGGCCAUUUUCCAGUUCAAAGGGGAGGAAAAAGAAGAAAGAAAGAAAGAACUAGGACCCCGUUCGGGCACUGGCGGGCCCGAGCUGUGUCGCGCCGCCCCCAACACGACCGCCUCUCCCUCCCGAUCGCGUCACACUCAAGGUCCAAAGAUGGUGUGCACACUUGUCUGUGGUCAUUUACCAUUAUAAUGAAUGGGAGGCGCAGUUUCUACCAAAACGCUCGCUGCAGACAAACUACAUGUCCUAUUUGAAAAAAGUCUGGACCAUGAGUGAGGGCACAAACACAGCUAGGAUAUAUCCAAAUGGCAAGUUUCUCCUCCUUUCGGUUUUGCCGAGAGAGCGAUGUGUUUGAGCCGUUGAGCGAUGGGCAGGAAAAACUUGACUUUUUCUCCUGCCAUGGGGGGGCACUCUUUUAGGGAGUAAAAAUUCCUUCACAAAUGUGUUGAUGGCUGGACAUUGCAUCAUCCUAGAAAACUUGGAGGCCAGUGAGGACAAAAAUAAAAAGUUAUAAGACUUUUAAAUAUGUGGAUUUUAGGGUUAUCUUUGGCGCCCCCUAGAACCUAAACCGUGGGGUGCAGCAUCAUGAUUUGAAUAACUUUUAAUGGCCAUGGGGUGUAGAUUGGCCUGAGCAAAUGUGGUGCCGGUGGAACAAAAGCCUUCGGAGGAGUUAGCGAAAUUCCAAUGUGUACGGAUCGCCAAAAAAUGCGAAAUAGCCCUUUAACCGUACAUUUGACAGAUACGCCCGCAUUGACUUUUUCGUAGAUAUUAUUGAGAUACACCUGUGUGCCAAAUUUUGUGUCAUUUUGACAAAGUGUAGAGGCGUGACACUGAACAAUGUGUAUUUUCACCUUAGGGGACAAGAAAAAAUGGACUUUUUUCUCCUGCCAUGGGGGGGCGCUCUUUUGGGGAGUAAAAAUUCCUUCACAAAUGUGUUGAUGGCUGGACAUUGCAUCAUCCUAGAAAACUUGGAGGCCAGUGAGGACAAAAAUAAAAAGUUAUAAGACUUUUAAAUAUGUGGAUUUUCGGGUUAUCUUUGGCGCCCCCUAGAACCUAAACCGUGGGGUGCAGCGUCAUGAUUUGAAUAACUUUUAAUGGCCAUGGGGUGUAGAUUGGCCUGAGCAAAUGUGGUGCCGGUGGAAUAAAAGCCUUCGGAGGAGUUAGCGAAAUUCCAAUGCGUACGGAUCGCCAAAAAAUGCGAAAUAGCCCUUUAACCGUACAUUUGACAGAUACGCCCGCAUUGACUUUUUUGUAGAUCUUAUUGAGACACACCUGUGUGCCAAAUUUUGUGUCAUUUUGACAAAGUGUAGAGGCGUGACACUCAACAAUGUGUAUUUUCACCUUAGGGGACAAGAAAAAAUGGACUUUUUUCUCCUGCCAUGGGGGGGCGCUCUUUUGGGGAGUAAAAAUUCCUUCACAAAUGUGUUGAUGGCUGGACAUUGCAUCAUCCUAGAAAACUUGGAGGCCAGUGAGGACAAAAAUAAAAAGUUAUAAGACUUUUAAAUAUGUGGAUUUUAGGGUUAUCUUUGGCGCCCCCUAGAACCUAAACCGUGGGGUGCAGCGUCAUGAUUUGAAUAACUUUUAAUGGCCAUGGGGUGUAGAUUGGCCUGAGCAAAUGUGGUGCCGGUGGAACAAAAGCCUUCGGAGGAGUUAGCGAAAUUCCAAUGUGUACGGAUCGCCAAAAAAUGCGAAAUAGCCCUUAAACCGUACAUUUGACAGAUACGCCCGCACUGACUUUUUUGUAGAUCUUAUUGAGAUACAUAUGUGUGUCAAAUUUUGUGUCAUUUUGACAAAGCGUACAGGCGUGACAGUCAAUAGUGUGAAUUUCCACCUUAGGGGGCGCUAUGGAGCCAUUUUGCAUUUUAUUGUUUGGGCGACUUCAGAAUAUCAAAUUUUUCACCAGGCCCGGUCGUCCUGCCAAAUUUCAUGAGUUUUCGCCAGUGGGAAGUGGGCCAUUUUCCAGUUCAAAGGGGAGGAAAAAUAAUAAUAAUAAUAAUAACAAAAGAAGGAAACAUGCAGGAACAAGAGGGCUCUCGCAGCUGCUUAGCAGCUACGCUCGGGCCCUAACUAGGACCCCGUUGGGGCACUGGCGGGCCCGAGCCGUGUCGCGUCUCCCCCCCCCCCACGUGCUGCCUCCCCGUCCCAUUUGUGUCCUCUGGCCAUCGCCCUCUCUGUUAACGCCCAUCACUGCAAAGACCCUUUUCCUUCAUCGGCGUUUGCUGUUCUUCCUGCCAGUGCGUGUUGCUUUCACUUACACUUGCCACAGCCAGCCUCGUGAGUGCCUAGCCUAUUGGAUAUCACUGUCACCUACACAGGACAGUCAUUACCUUUCUAUUAAUACUUUGUGUUUUAAUUUCACAUUAAUUUCCAUAUUGUAUAAACGACUGGAAAAAACUUGAGCCCCUGCCCCUGUAUAAUCAUGUGCAUGUCUCUGUUCUAGCUCCAAGGUGAAUCUUCACUGCUCAUGUUCUCCUCAGAAGCACUCACCUCACUCCCCUCAGGUUACUGUACACAUGCACCAACUGCCUGCUUCAGGUUUGGAUGGAGCUUCAUGGUUGUCUUUUGGAGAAAUGACCAGUCAAGUUGUGUUUGAAAUUUGAUUUUUUUCAGGGGCAAAAGGAGCCUCUGCAUUCUUGUCAAAUAUGUAAAUAGCAUGUUUUUGCAGGUGCUAAAAACCAGACUCUGAGUGUGUGUGUGUGUGUGUGUGUGUGUGUGCGUGUGUGUGUGUCUAUGUGUGCGUUCAAGUCACAUGACAUAUUUAACCGGAUGUAGCUGCAAGACGGAGCCUCGUUGACUCUCCGUUUCAACUUAUCUCAAAAGUGAGGACCUCAACCUAUAUACCAGUUUUUAAAUUGUGUUGAUAGGCCAAAUAAAACCAGAGUUAUGAUAAAUUAUGUCCGCGAUACUUGUUUUCUGCUUAUUUUGAUCACGUUCGGCGCUCGAUCGCGCUGUAUGAGACAGGAAAACAUAGCAUGCAGACAUUAGCGACAGGUCUUACAGGCGGAAAAGGCUUGCCAAAAGAAAAAAAAACCACACCACAACAUCUCUCCUAUUGGUGGAAAACUUCACCACAACAACCAAUUCAAAAUUAUAUGGUGACUGAUUGACAAGGGGCGGGCGCUUACGUUCUUCCUGCAACAUGAGAAGGGAGGGAGGGACUCUCAGCAGGGAUGCAGUCUGGGACACGUAGUUGCAAACCUAGCGACUUUGUUGUUAGAUUCAAUGACUUUUCAGACCCCCUAACGACUUUUUUUUAGAAAGAAAGGGACUUUUAUCGACUUCUUCUGGAGUUUAGAGACUCUGACAUGAAGCAGGCUUUCCUUACUGAGGAGUUAGCAACGCUGCUAAGGGUGCAGAGCCACACAUGCGCUCAGAGCUCUGCAUGGGAGACUGAAGCUGACAGAGCUGCAGCAGUUAGCAGGUUUCACCCUCAGAGACCACCAGGGGUUCAUGUUGAGGCAUUUUAAUUUUUUUUUUUUUUUUGUGCCAUAGACACUGUCAGCACAAUCUGCAGUUACACUAACAAAAAUGCUGCAAAAAACAAAGAAUUAUGGAAAAAUUACACAUGGACUAACAUAGAAGAGGAUCUACACAAGUUUUUUACAUCAUGUUUUACAUCAUGCAUCAUUUACAUCAUGUUUUUUUGUAGUGGCAUAAAUAAAAAGUGACAUUUGUGAGACUAUACAGUGUUUUGUAAAUAAUUUUACAAAGAACGCCUGGGCCAUUGCCUGCAUUUUGAUGUAAAUAGAGGUAAAUUACUAUGUUCUUUGUUAAAAAUUUGCAUAUGUUUUGAAGUUUACAAUUUUUAUUUGAAGUUUAAGUUUUAAAAACAGUUCAUCACACAUAUUUGUGGUUUAAUUUCACAUUAAUUUCCAUAUUGUAUAAAUGACUGGAAAAAACUUGAGCCCCUGCCCCUGUAUAAUCAUGUGCACGUCCCUGUUCUAGCUCCAAGGUGAAUCUUCACUGCUCAUGUUCUCCUCAGAAAUAGUCACCUCACUCCCCUCAGGUUACUGUACACAUGCACCAACUAUCUGCUUCAGGUUUGAAAUGGAGCUUCAUGGUUGUCUUUUGGAGAAAUGAACAGUCAAGUUGUGUUUGAAAUUUGAUUUUUUUCAGGGGCAAAAGGAAGCCUCUGCAUUCUUGUCAAAUAUGUAAACAGCAUGUUUUUGCAGGUGCUAAAAAACAGACUCUGAGUGUGUGUGUGUGUGUGUCUGUGUGUGUGUGUGUGUGUGUGUGUGUGUGUGUGUGUGUGUAUGUUGGCGUGUGUGUAUAUGUGUGUGUAUCCUGCAGUACUCUGUACUCCUGCAGUGGCCAAAAAGACUUUUAAGAAUGUGGAUUUUUGGGUCAUCUUUGGCGCCCCCUAGAACUGCAGUACUCUGUACUCCUGCAGUGGCCAAAAUGACUUUUAAGAAUGUGGAUUUUUGGGUCACCUUUGGCGCCCCCUAGAACGUAAACCGUGGGGUGCAGCGUCAUGAUUUUUACAACUUUGAAUGGGCAUGGGGUGUAGAUUGCCCUGAGCAAAUUUGGUAUCGGUGGGACGAAAGCCUUAGGAGGAGAUAGCCACAUUCCAAUGUGUGCGAAUCGGCAAAAAAUGCAAAAUAGCCCUUUAACCGUACAUUAUACAGAUACGCGCUCUUUGACUUUUUCGUAGAUCUAAUUGAGAUACACAUGAUUGUCAAUUUUUGUGUCAAUAUGACAAAGCGUUCAGGUGUGACACUCAGCAAUGUGUAUUUUCAUUUAAGGGGACAAGAAAAAAAUUGACUUUUUUCUCCUACCAUGGGGGGGCGCUCUUUUGGGGAGUAAAAAUUCCUUCACAAAUGUGUUGAUGGCUGGACAUUGCAUCAUCCUAGAAAACUUGGAGGCCAGUGAGGACAAAAAUAAAAAGUUAUAAAACAUUUAAGAAUGUGGAUUUUUGGGUUAUUUUUGGCGCCCCCUAGAACCUAAACCAUGGGGUGCAGCAUCAUGAUUUGAAUAACUUUUAAUGGCCAUGGGGUGUAGAUUGGCCUGAGCAAAUGUGGUGCCGGUGGAACGAAAGCCUUCGGAGGAGUUAGCGAAAUUCCAAUGUGUGCGUAUCGGCAAAAAAUGCGGAAUAACCCUUUAACUGUACAUUUGACAGAUACGCGCGCACGGACUUUUUUGUAGAUCUUCUUGAGAUACAUGUGUGUGUCAAUUUUUGUGUCAUUUUGACAAAGCGUAUAGGCGUGACACUCAACAAUGUGUAUUUUCACCUUAGGGGACAAGAAAAAAUGGACUUUUUUCUCCUGCCAUGGGGGGCGCUCUUUUGGGGAGUAAAAAUUCCUUCACAAAUGUGUUGAUGGCUGGACAUUGCAUCAUCCUAGAAAACUUGGAGGCCAGUGAGGACAAAAAUAAAAAGUUAUAAGACUUUUAAAUAUGUGGAUUUUAGUGUUAUCUUUGGCGCCCCCUAGAACCUAAACCUUGGGGUGCAGCGUCAUGAUUUUGAUAACUUUUAAUGGCCACGGGGUGUAGAUUGGCCUGAGCAAAUGUGGUGCCGGUGGAACGAAAGCCUUCGGAGGAGUUAGCGAAAUUCCAAUGUGUGCGGAUCGGCAAAAAAUGCGAAAUAACCCUUUAACCGUAAUUUUGACAGAUACGGCCGCACUGACUUUUUUGUAGAUCUUAUUGAGAUACAUAUGUGUGUCAAUUUUUGUGUCAAUAUGACAAAGCGUACAGGCGUGACAGUCAAUAGUGUGAAUUUCCACCUUAGGGGGCGCUAUGGAGCCAUUUUGCAUUUUAUUGUUUGGGCGACUUCAGAAUAUCGAAUUUUUCACCAGGCCCGGUCGUCCUGCCAAAUUUCAUGAGUUUUCGCCAGUGGGAAGUGGGCCAUUUUCCAGUUCAAAGGGGAGGAAAAAGAAGAAAGAAAGAAAGAAAGAAAGAAAGAAAGAAACAAAGAAAAACCACUUGGGGAAUAAUAGGGCCUACGCCCGGCUGCUCUGCAGCUGGCUCGGGCCCUAACUAGGACCCCGUUGGGGCACUGGCGGGCCCGAGCUGUGUCGCGUCCCCCCCCCCAACGCGCUGCCUCCCCGUCCCAUUUGUGUCCUCUGGCCAUCGCCCUCUCUGGUAACGCCCAUCACUGCAAAGACCCUUUUCCUUCAUCGGCGUUUGCUGUUCUUCCUGCCAGUGCGUGUUGCUUUCACUUACACUUGCCACAGCCAGCCUCGUGAGUGCCUAGCCUAUUCGAUAUCACUGUCACCUACACAGGACAGUCAUUACCUUUCUAUUAAUACUUUGUGUUUUAAUUUCACAUUAAUUUCCAUAUUUUAUAAACGACUGGAAAAAACUUGAGCCCCUGCCCCUGUAUAAUCAUGUGCAUGUCUCUGUUCUAGCUCCAAGGUGAAUCUUCACUGCUCAUGUUCUCCUCAGAAGCACUCACCUCACUCCCCUCAGGUUACUGUACACAUGCACCAACUGCCUGCUUCAGGUUUGGAUGGAGCUUCAUGGUUGUCUUUUGGAGAAAUGACCAGUCAAGUUGUGUUUGAAAUUUGAUUUUUUUCAGGGGCAAAAGGAGCCUCUGCAUUCUUGUCAAAUAUGUAAAUAGCAUGUUUUUGCAGGUGCUAAAAACCAGACUCUGAGUGUGUGUGUGUGUGUGUGUGUGUGUGUGUGUGUGUGUGUGUGUGUGUGUGUCUGUGUGUGCGUUCAAGUCACAUGACAUAUUUAACCGGAUGUAGCUGCAAGACGGAGCCUCGUUGACUCUCCGUUUCAACUUAUCUCAAAAGUGAGGACCUCAACCUAUAUACCAGUUUUUAAAUUGUGUUGAUAGGCCAAAUAAAACCAGAGUUAUGAUAAAUUAUGUCCGCGAUACUUUUUUUCUGCUUAUUUUGAUCACGUUCGGCGCUCAAUCGCGCUGUAUGAGACAGGAAAACAUAGCAUGCAGACAUUAGCGACAGGUCUUACAGGCGGAAAAGGCUUGCCAAAAAAAAAAAACACACCACAACAUCUCUCCUAUUGGUGGAAAACUUCACCACAACAACCAAUCCAAAAUUAUAUGGUGACUGAUUGACAAGGGGCGGGCGCUUACGUUCUUCCUGCAACAUGAGAAGGGAGGGAGGGACUCUCAGCAGGGAUGCAGUCUGGGACACGUAGUUGCAAACCUAGCGACUUUGUUGUUAGAUUCAAUGACUUUUCAGACCCCCUAACGACUUUUUUUUAGAAAGAAAGGGACUUUUAUCGACUUCUUCUGGAGUUUAGAGACUCUGACAUGAAGCAGGCUUUCCUUACUGAGGAGUUAGCAACGCUGCUAAGGGUGCAGAGCCACACAUGCGCUCAGAGCUCUGCAUGGGAGACUGAAGCUGACAGAGCUGCAGCAGUUAGCAGGUUUCACCCUCAGAGACCACCAGGGGUUCAUGUUGAGGCAUUUUAAUUUUUUUUUUUUUUUUGUGCCAUAGACACUGUCAGCACAAUCUGCAGUUACACUAACAAAAAUGCUGCAAAAAACAAAGAAUUAUGGAAAAAUUACACAUGGACUGACAUAGAGGAGGAUCUACACAAGUUUUUUACAUCAUGUUUUACAUCAUGCAUCAUUUACAUCAUGUUUUUUUGUAGUGGCAUAAAUAAAAAGUGACAUUUGUGAGACUAUACAGUGUUUUGUAAAUAAUUUUACAAAGAACGCCUGGGCCAUUGCCUGCAUUUUGAUGUAAAUAGAGGUAAAUUACUAUGUUCUUUGUUAAAAAUUUGCAUAUGUUUUGAAGUUUACAAUUUUUAUUUGAAGUUUAAGUUUUAAAAACAGUUCAUCACACAUAUUUGUGGUUUAAUUUCACAUUAAUUUCCAUAUUGUAUAAAUGACUGGAAAAAACUUGAGCCCCUGCCCCUGUAUAAUCAUGUGCACGUCCCUGUUCUAGCUCCAAGGUGAAUCUUCACUGCUCAUGUUCUCCUCAGAAAUAGUCACCUCACUCCCCUCAGGUUACUGUACACAUGCACCAACUAUCUGCUUCAGGUUUGAAAUGGAGCUUCAUGGUUGUCUUUUGGAGAAAUGAACAGUCAAGUUGUGUUUGAAAUUUGAUUUUUUUUCAGGGGCAAAAGGAAGCCUCUGCAUUCUUGUCAAAUAUGUAAACAGCAUGUUUUUGCAGGUGCUAAAAAACAGACUCUGAGUGUGUGUGUGUGUCUGUGUGUGUGUGUGUGUGUGUGUGUGUGUGUGUGUGUGUGUGUGUGUGUGUGUGUGUGUGUGUAUGUUGGCGUGUGUGUAUAUGUGUGUGUAUCCUGCAGUACUCUGUACUCCUGCAGUGGCCAAAAAGACUUUUAAGAAUGUGGAUUUUUGGGUCAUCUUUGGCGCCCCCUAGAACUGCAGUACUCUGUACUCCUGCAGUGGCCAAAAUGACUUUUAAGAAUGUGGAUUUUUGGGUCAUCUUUGGCGCCCCCUAGAACGUAAACCGUGGGGUGCAGCGUCAUGAUUUUUACAACUUUGAAUGGGCAUGGGGUGUAGAUUGCCCUGAGCAAAUUUGGUAUCGGUGGGACGAAAGCCUUAGGAGGAGAUAGCCACAUUCCAAUGUGUGCGAAUCGGCAAAAAAUGCAAAAUAGCCCUUUAACCGUACAUUAUACAGAUACGCGCUCUUUGACUUUUUCGUAGAUCUAAUUGAGAUACACAUGAUUGUCAAUUUUUGUGUCAUUUUGACAAAGCGUUCAGGCGUGACACUCAACAAUGUGUAUUUUUAUGUAAGGGGACAAGAAAAAAAUUGACUUUUUUCUCCUACCAUGGGGGGGGCGCUCUUUUGGGGAGUAAAAAUUCCUUCACAAAUGUGUUGAUGGCUGGACAUUGCAUCAUCCUAGAAAACUUGGAGGCCAGUGAGGACAAAAAUAAAAAGUUAUAAAACAUUUAAGAAUGUGGAUUUUUGGGUUAUUUUUGGCGCCCCCUAGAACCUAAACCAUGGGGUGCAGCAUCAUGGUUUGAAUAACUUUUAAUGGCCAUGGGGUGUAGAUUGGCCUGAGCAAAUGUGGUGCCGGUGGAACGAAAGCCUUCGGAGGAGUUAGCGAAAUUCCAAUGUGUGCGGAUCGGCAAAAAAUGCGGAAUAACCCUUUAACCGUACAUUUGACAGAUACGCGCGCAUUGACUUUUUCGUAGAUCUUAUUGAGAUACAUGUGUGUGUCAAUUUUUGUGUCAUUUUGCCAAAGCGUACAGGUGUUACACUCAACAAUGUGUAUUUUCACCUUAGGGGACAAGAAAAAAUGGACUUUUUUCUCCUGCCAUGGGGGGGCGCUCUUUUGGGGAGUAAAAAUUCCUUCACAAAUGUGUUGAUGGCUGGACAUUGCAUCAUCCUAGAAAACUUGGAGGCCAGUGAGGGCAAAAAUAAAAAGUUAUAAGACUUUUAAAUAUGUGGAUCUUAGGGUUAUCUUUGGCGCCCCCUAGAACCUAAACCGUGGGGUGCAGCGUCAUGAUUUGAAUAACUUUUAAUGGCCAUGGGGUGUAGAUUGGCCUGAGCAAAUGUGGUGCCUGUGGAACGAAAGCCUUCGGAGGAGUUAGCGAAAUUCCAAUGUGUGCGGAUCGGCAAAAAAUGCGAAAUAACCCUUUAACCGUACAUUUGACAGAUACGCCCGCACUGACUUUUUUGUAGAUCUUAUUGAGAUACAUGUGUGUGUCAAUUUUUGUGUCAUUUUGACAAAGCGUACAGGCGUGACAGUCAAUAGUGUGAAUUUUCACCUUAGGGGGCGCUAUGGAGCCAUUUUGCAUUUUCUUGUUUGGGCGACUUCGGAAUAUCAAAUUUUUCACCAGGCCCGGUCGUCCUGCCAAAUUUCAUGAGUUUUCGCCAGUGGGAAGUGGGCCAUUUUCCAGUUCAAAGGGGAGGAAAAAUAAUAAUAACAAAAGAAGGAAACUACAGGAACAAGAGGGCUCUCGCAGCUGCUUAGCAGCUACGCUCGGGCCCUAACUAGGACCCCGUUGGGGCACUGGCGGGCCCGAGCUCCCCCCCCCCAACGCGACCGCCUCCCCGUCCCAUUUGUGUCCUCUGGCCAUCGCCCUCUCUGGUAACGCCCAUCACUGCAAAGACCCUUUUCCUUCAUCGGCGUUUGCUGUUCUUCCUGCCAGUGCGUGUUGCUUUCACUUACACUUGCCACAGCCAGCCUCGUGAGUGCCUAGCCUAUUCGAUAUCACUGUCACCUACACAGGACAGUCAUUACCUUUCUAUUAAUACUUUGUGUUUUAAUUUCACAUUAAUUUCCAUAUUGUAUAAACGACUGGAAAAAACUUGAGCCCCUGCCCCUGUAUAAUCAUGUGCACGUCUCUGUUCUAGCUCCAAGGUGAAUCUUCACUGCUCAUGUUCUCCUCAGAAGCACUCACCUCACUCCCCUCAGGUUACUGUACACAUGCACCAACUGCCUGCUUCAGGUUUGGAUGGAGCUUCAUGGUUGUCUUUUGGAGAAAUGACCAGUCAAUUUGUGUUUGAAAUUUGAUUUUUUUCAGGGGCAAAAGGAGCCUCUGCAUUCUUGUCAAAUAUGUAAAUAGCAUGUUUUUGCAGGUGCUAAAAACCAGACUCUGAGUGUGUGUGUGUGUGUGUGUGUGUGCGUGUGUGUGUGUGUGCGUGUGUGUGCGUUCAAGUCACAUGACAUAUUUAACCGGAUGUAGCUGCAAGACGGAGCCUCGUUGACUCUCUGUUUCAACUUAUCUCAAAAGUGAGGACCUCAACCUAUAUACCAGUUUUUAAAUUGUGUUGAUAGGCCAAAUAAAACCAGAGUUAUGAUAAAUUAUGUCCGCGAUACUUUUUUUCUGCUUAUUUUGAUCACGUUCGGCGCUCGAUCGCGCUGUAUGAGACAGGAAAACAUAGCAUGCAGACAUUAGCGACAGGUCUUACAGGCGGAAAAGGCUUGCCAAAAGAAAAAAAAAACACACCACAACAUCUCUCCUAUUGGUGGAAAACUUCACCACAACAACCAAUCCAAAAUUAUAUGGUGACUGAUUGACAAGGGGAGGGCGCUUACGUUCUUCCUGCAACAUGAGAAGGGAGGGAGGGACUCUCAGCAGGGAUGCAGUCUGGGACACGUAGUUGCAAACCUAGCGACUUUGUUGUUAGAUUCAAUGACUUUUCAGACCCCCUAACGACUUUUUUUUAGAAAGAAAGUGACUUUUAUCGACUUCUUCUGGAGUUUAGAGACUCUGACAUGAAGCAGGCUUUCCUUACUGAGGAGUUAGCAACGCUGCUAAGGGUGCAGAGCCACACAUGCGCUCAGAGCUCUGCAUGGGAGACUGAAGCUGACAGAGCUGCAGCAGUUAGCAGGUUUCACCCUCAGAGACCACCAGGGGUUCAUGUUGAGGCAUUUUAAUUUUUUUUUUUUUUUUUGUGCCAUAGACACUGUCAGCACAAUCUGCAGUUACACUAACAAAAAUGCUGCAAAAAACAAAGAAUUAUGGAAAAAUUACACAUGGACUGACAUAGAGGAGGAUCUACACAAGUUUUUUACAUCAUGUUUUACAUCAUGCAUCAUUUACAUCAUGUUUUUUUGUAGUGGCAUAAAUAAAAAGUGACAUUUGUGAGACUAUACAGUGUUUUGUAAAUAAUUUUACAAAGAACGCCUGGGCCAUUGCCUGCAUUUUGAUGUAAAUAGAGGUAAAUCACUAUGUUCUUUGUUAAAAAUUUGCAUAUGUUUUGAAGUUUACAAUUUUUAUUUGAAGUUUAAGUUUUAAAAACAGUUCAUCACACAUAUUUGUGGUUUAAUUUCACAUUAAUUUCCAUAUUGUAUAAAUGACUGGAAAAAACUUGAGCCCCUGCCCCUGUAUAAUCAUGUGCACGUCCCUGUUCUAGCUCCAAGGUGAAUCUUCACUGCUCAUGUUCUCCUCAGAAAUAGUCACCUCACUCCCCUCAGGUUACUGUACACAUGCACCAACUAUCUGCUUCAGGUUUGAAAUGGAGCUUCAUGGUUGUCUUUUGGAGAAAUGAACAGUCAAGUUGUGUUUGAAAUUUGAUUUUUUUCAGGGGCAAAAGGAAGCCUCUGCAUUCUUGUCAAAUAUGUAAAUAGCAUGUUUUUGCAGGUGCUAAAAACCAGACUCUGAGUGUGUGUGUGUGUGUGUCUGUGUGUGUCUGUGUGUGUGUGUGUGUGUGUGUGUGUGUGUGUGUGUAUGUUGGCGUGUGUGUAUAUGUGUGUGUAUCCUGCAGUACUCUGUACUCCUGCAGUGGCCAAAAAGACUUUUAAGAAUGUGGAUUUUUGGGUCAUCUUUGGCGCCCCCUAGAACUGCAGUACUCUGUACUCCUGCAGUGGCCAAAAUGACUUUUAAGAAUGUGGAUUUUUGGGUCAUCUUUGGCGCCCCCUAGAACGUAAACCGUGGGGUGCAGCGUCAUGAUUUUUACAACUUUGAAUGGCCAUGGGGUGUAGAUUGGCCUGAGCAAAUUUGGUGUCAGUGGGACGAAAGCCUUAGGAGGAGUUAGCCACAUUCCAAUGUGUGCGAAUCGGCAAAAAAUGCAAAAUAGCCCUUUAACCGUACAUUUGACAGAUACGCCCGAAUCGACUCUUUUGUAGAUCUUAUUGAGAUACAUAUGUGUGUCAAUUUUUGUGUCAAUAUGAUAAAGCGUACAGGCGUGACAGUCAAUAGUGUGAAUUUCCACCUUAGGGGACAAGAAAAAAUUGGCUUUUUUUCCUGCCAUGGGGGGGCGCUCUUUUGGGGAGUAAAAAUUCCUUCACAAAUGUGUUGAUGGCUGGACAUUGCAUCAUCCUAGAAAACUUGGAGGCCAGUGAGGACAAAAAUAAAAAGUUAUAAGACUUUUAAAUAUGUGGAUUUUAGGGUUAUCUUUGGCGCCCCCUAGAACCUAAACCGUGGGAUGCAGCGUCAUGAUUUGAAUAACUUUUAAUGGCCAUGGGGUGUAGAUUGGCCUGAGCAAAUGUGGUGCCGGUGGAACGAAAGCCUUCGGAGGAGUUAGCGAAAUUCCAAUGUGUGCGGAUCGGCAAAAAAUGCGGAAUAACCCUUUAACCGUACAUUUGACAGAUACGCGCGCAUUGACUUUUUCGUAGAUCUUAUUGAGAUACAUGUGUGUGUCAAUUUUUGUGUCAUUUUGCCAAAGCGUACAGGUGUUACACUCAACAAUGUGUAUUUUCACCUUAGGGGACAAGAAAAAAUGGACUUUUUUCUCCUGCCAUGGGGGGCGCUCUUUUGGGGAGUAAAAAUUCCUUCACAAAUGUGUUGAUGGCUGGACAUUGCAUCAUCCUAGAAAACUUGGAGGCCAGUGAGGGCAAAAAUAAAAAGUUAUAAGACUUUUAAAUAUGUGGAUUUUAGGGUUAUCUUUGGCGCCCCCUAGAACCUAAACCGUGGGGUGCAGCGUCAUGAUUUGAAUAACUUUUAAUGGCCAUGGGGUGUAGAUUGGCCUGAGCAAAUGUGGUGCCGGUGGAACGAAAGCCUUCGGAGGAGUUAGCGAAAUUCCAAUGUGUGCGGAUCGGCAAAAAAUGCGAAAUAACCCUUUAACCGUACAUUUGACAGAUACGCCCGCACUGACUUUUUUGUAGAUCUUAUUGAGAUACAUGUGUGUGUCAAUUUUUGUGUCAUUUUGACAAAGCGUACAGGCGUGACAGUCAAUAGUGUGAAUUUUCACCUUAGGGGGCGCUAUGGAGCCAUUUUGCAUUUUCUUGUUUGGGCGACUUCGGAAUAUCAAAUUUUUCACCAGGCCCGGUCGUCCUGCCAAAUUUCAUGAGUUUUCGCCAGUGGGAAGUGGGCCAUUUUCCAGUUCAAAGGGGAGGAAAAAUAAUAAUAACAAAAGAAGGAAACUACAGGAACAAGAGGGCUCUCGCAGCUGCUUAGCAGCUACGCUCGGGCCCUAACUAGGACCCCGUUGGGGCACUGGCGGGCCCGAGCUGUGUCACGUCCCCCCCCCAACGCGCUGCCUCCCCGUCCCAUUUGUGUCCUCUGGCCAUCGCCCUCUUUGGUAACGCCCAUCACUGCAAAGACCCUUUUCCUUCAUCGGCGUUUGCUGUUCUUCCUGCCAGUGCGUGUUGCUUUCACUUACACUUGCCACAGCCAGCCUCGUGAGUGCCUAGCCUAUUGGAUAUCACUGUCACCUACACAGGACAGUCAUUACCUUUCUAUUGAUACUUUGUUUUUUAAUUUCACAUGGAUGGAGCUUCAUGGUUGUCUUUUGGAGAAAUGACCAGUCAAGUUGUGUUUGAAAUUUGAUUUUUUUCAGGGGCAAAAGGAGCCUCUGCAUUCUUGUCAAAUAUGUAAAUAGCAUGUUUUUGCAGGUGCUACAAACCAGACUCUGAGUGUGUGUGUGUGCGUGUGUGUGUGUGUCUGUGUGUGUGUGUGUGUGUGCGUUCAAGUCACAUGACAUAUUUAACCGGAUGUAGCUGCAAGACGGAGCCUCGUUGACUCUCCGUUUCAAUUUAUCUCAAAAGUGAGGACCUCAACCUAUAUACCAGUUUUUAAAUUGUGUUGAUAGGCCAAAUAAAACCAGAGUUAUGAUAAAUUAUGUCCGCGAUACUUGUUUUCUGCUUAUUUUGAUCACGUUCGGCGCUCGAUCGCGCUGUAUGAGACAGGAAAACAUAGCAUGCAGACAUUAGCGACAGGUCUUACAGGCGGAAAAGGCUUGCCAAAAGAAAAAAAAUACACACCACAACAUCUCUCCUAUUGGUGGAAAACUUCACCACAACAACCAAUCCAAAAUUAUAUGGUGACUGAUUGACAAGGGGCGGGAACUUACGUUCUUCCUGCAAUAUGAGAAGGGAGGGAGGGACUCUCAGCAGGGAUGCAGUCUGGGACACGUAGUUGCAAACCUAGCGACUUUGUUGUUAGAUUCAAUGACUUUUCAGACCCCCUAACGACUUUUUUUUAGAAAGAAAGUGAUUUUAUCGACUUCUUCUGGAGUUUAGAGACUCUGACAUGAAGCAGGCUUUCCUUACUGAGGAGUUAGCAACGCUGCUAAGGGUGCAGAGCCACACAUGCGCUCCGAGCUCUGCAUGGGAGACUGAAGCUGACAGAGCUGCAGCAGUUAGCAGGUUUCACCCUCAGAGACCACCAGGGGUUCAUGUUGAGGCAUUUUCAGUUUUUUUUUUUUUUUUUUUGCCAUAGACACUGUCAGCACAAUCUGCAGUUACACUAACAAAAAUGCUGCAAAAAACAAAGAAUUAUGGAAAAAUUACACAUGGACUAACAUAGAGGAGGAUCUACACAAGUUUUUUACAUCAUGUUUUACAUCAUGCAUCAUUUACAUCAUGUUUUUUUGUAGUGGCAUAAAUAAAAAGUGACAUUUGUGAGACUAUACAGUGUUUUGUAAAUAAUUUUACAAAGAACACCUGGGCCAUUGCCUGCAUUUUGAUGUCAAUAGAGGUAAAUUACUAUGUUCUUUGUUAAAAAUUUGCAUAUGUUUUGAAGUUUACAAUUUUUAUUUGAAGUUUAAGUUUUAAAAACAGUUCAUCACACAUAUUUGUGGUUUUCACAGUAAAAACGUUACUUUUUUCCACUCGGAUUUUAUGUUUUGUGUGUGAAUUUGGGUCCAAUGUGUAAAUAUAGUAUGUCAAAAUGAUAAAAUAACUGUAAAUUGACACAGGUGAGGUUGUGCUGAAAAAAAUGAUACCAGGCAAGGCAAGGUAAAAAUUUUGUAAGAGGAAAUAUAAAGGUAAAAUCUAAAGUAGUCAAAAACGGCCAAUAGUGACUCACAGACUCCACAGACAAGCCCCUUUGGCGCCACUCAGUGGGCAAAACUACUUUGUCUACUGUAAUGUAUAUUUGGGUCAUCUUUGGCGCCCCCUAAAACGUAAACCGUGGGGUGCAGCGUCAUGAUUUUUACAACUUUGAAUGGCCAUGGAGUGUAGAUUGGCCUGAGCAAAUUUGGUGUCAGUGGGACGAAAGCCUUAGGAGGAGUUAGCGAAAUUCCAAUGUGUGCGAAUCGGCAAAAAAUGCAAAAUAGCCCUUUUACCGUACAUUAUACAGAUAUGCGCUCUUUGACUUUUUCGUAGAUCUAAUUGAGAUACACAUGAUUGUCAAUUUUUGUGUCAUUUUGCCAAAGCGUACAGGCGUGACAGUCAACAAUGUGUAUUUUCACCUUAGGGGACAAGAAAAAAUGGACUUUUUUCUCCUGCCAUGGGGGGCGCUCUUUUAGGGAGUAAAAAUUCCUUCACAAAUGUGUUGAUGGCUGGACAUUGCAUCAUCCUAGAAAACUUGGAGGCCAGUGAGGACAAAAAUAAAAAGUUAUAAGACUUUUAAAAAUGUGGAUUUUUGGGUUAUCUUCGGCGCCCCCUAGAACGUAAACCGUGGGGUGCAGCGUCAUGAUUUGAAUAACUUUUAAUGGCCAUGGGGUGUAGAUUGGCCUGAGCAAAUGUGGUGCCGGUGGAACGAGAAAGCCUUCGGAGGAGUUAGCGAAAUUCCAAUGUGUGCGGAUCGGCAAAAAAUGCGAAAUAACCCUUUAACCGUACAUUGAAGGAUACGCGCGAUUGGACUUUUUCGUAGAUCUUAUUGAGAUACAUGUGUGUGUCAAUUUUUGUGUCAUUUUGACAAAGCGUACAGGCGUGACAGUCAAUAGUGUGAAUUUUCACCUUAGGAGACAAGAAAAAAUGGACUUUUUUCUCCUGCCAUGGGGGGCGCUCUUUUGGGGAGUAAAAAUUCCUUCACAAAUGUGUUGAUGGCUGGACAUUGCAUCAUCCUAGAAAACUUGGAGGCCAGUGAGGGCAAAAAUAAAAAGUUAUAAGACUUUUAAAUAUGUGGAUUUCAGGGUUAUCUUUGGCGCCCCCUAGAACCUAAACCGUGGGGUGCAGCGUCAUGAUUUGAAUAACUUUUAAUGGCCAUGGGGUGUAGAUUGGCCUGAGCAAAUGUGGUGCCGGUGGAACGAAAGCCUUCGGAGGAGUUAGCGAAAUUCCAAUGUGUGCAGAUCGGCAAAAAAUGCGAAAUAACCCUUUAACCGUACAUUUGACAGAUACGCCCGCACUGACUUUUUUGUAGAUCUUAUGAGAUACAUGUGUGUGUCAAUUUUUGUGUCAUUUUGACAAAACGUACAGGCGUGACAGUCAAUAGUGUGAAUUUUCACCUUAGGGGGCGCUAUGGAGCCAUUUUGCAUUUUCUUGUUUGGGCGACUUCGGAAUAUCAAAUUUUUCACCAGGCCCGGUCGUCCUGCCAAAUUUCAUGAGUUUUCGCCAGUGGGAAGUGGGCCAUUUUCCAGUUCAAAGGGGAGGAAAAAUAAUAAUAACUAGGACCCCGUUGGGGCACUGGCGGGCCCGAGCCGUGUCGCGUCCCCCCCCCCAACGUGCUGCCUCCCCGUCCCAUUUGUGUCCUCUGGCCAUCGCCCUCUCUGGUAACGCCCAUCACUGCAAAGACCCUUUUCCUUCAUCUGCGUUUGCUGUUCUUCCUGCCAGUGCGUGUUGCUUUCACUUACACUUGCCACAGCCAGCCUCGUGAGUGCCUAGCCUAUUGGAUAUCACUGUCACCUACACAGGACAGUCAUUACCUUUCUAUUAAUACUUUGUGUUUUAAUUUCACAUUAAUUUCCAUAUUGUAUAAACGACUGGAAAAAACUUGAGCCCCUGCCCCUGUAUAAUCAUGUGCAUGUCUCUGUUCUAGCUCCAAGGUGAAUCUUCACUGCUCAUGUUCUCCUCAGAAGCACUCACCUCACUCCCCUCAGGUUACUGUACACAUGCACCAACUGCCUGCUUCAGGUUUGGAUGGAGCUUCAUGGUUGUCUUUUGGAGAAAUUACCAGUCAAGUUGUGUUUGAAAUUUGAUUUUUUUCAGGGGCAAAAGGAGCCUCUGCAUUCUUGUCAAAUAUGUAAAUAGCAUGUUUUUGCAGGUGCUAAAAACCAGACUCUGAGUGUGUGUGUGUGUGUGUGUGUGUGUGUGUGUGUGUGUGUGUGUGUGUGUGUGUGUGUGUGUGUCUGUGUGUGCGUUCAAGUCACAUGACAUAUUUAACCGGAUGUAGCUGCAAGACGGAGCCUCGUUGACUCUCCGUUUCAACUUAUCUCAAAAGUGAGGACCUCAAGCUAUAUACCAGUUUUUAAAUUGUGUUGAUAGGCCAAAUAAAACCAGAGUUAUGAUAAAUUAUGUCCGCAAUACUUUUUUUCUGCUUAUUUUGAUCACGUUCGGCGCUCGAUCGCGCUGUAUGAGACAGGAAAACAUAGCAUGCAGACAUUAGCGACAGCUCUUACAGGCGGAAAAGGCUUGCCAAAAGAAAAAAAAAACACACCACAACAUCUCUCCUAUUGGUGGAAAACUUCACCACAACAACCAACCCAAAAUUAUAUGGUGACUGAUUGACAAGGGGCGGGCGCUUACAUUCUUCCUGCAACAUGAGAAGGGAGGGAGGGACUCUCAGCAGGGAUGCAGUCUGGGACACGUAGUUGCAAACCUAGCGACUUUGUUGUUAGAUUCAAUGACUUUUCAGACCCCCUAACGACUUUUUUUUUAGAAAGAAAGGGACUUUUAUCGACUUCUUCUGGAGUUUAGAGACUCUGACAUGAAGCAGGCUUUCCUUACUGAGGAGUUAGCAACGCUGCUAAGGGUGCAGAGCCACACAUGCGCUCCGAGCUCUGCAUGGGAGACUGAAGCUGACAGAGCUGCAGCAGUUAGCAGGUUUCACCCUCAGAGACCACCAGGGGUUCAUGUUGAGGCAUUUUAAUUAUUUUUUUUUUUUUUGUGCCAUAGACACUGUCAGCACAAUCUGCAGUUACACUAACAAAAAUGCUGCAAAAAACAAAGAAUUAUGGAAAAAUUACACAUGGACUGACAUAGAGGAGGAUCUACACAAGUUUUUUACAUCAUGUUUUACAUCAUGCAUCAUUUACAUCAUGUUUUUUUGUAGUGGCAUAAAUAAAAAGUGACAUUUGUGAGACUAUACAGUGUUUUGUAAAUAAUUUUACAAAGAACGCCUGGGCCAUUGCCUGCAUUUUGAUGUAAAUAGAGGUAAAUUACUAUGUUCUUUGUUAAAAAUUUGCAUAUGUUUUGAAGUUUACAAUUUUUAUUUGAAGUUUAAGUUUUAAAAACAGUUCAUCACACAUAUUUGUGGUUUUCACAGUAAAAAUGUUACUUUUUUCCACUCGGAUUUUAUGUUUUGUGUGUGAAUUUGGGUCCAUUGUGUAAAUUCAGUAUGUCAACAUGAUAAAAUAACUGUAAAUUCGCACAGGUGAGGUUGUGCUGAAAAAAAUGAUACCAGGCAAGGCACGUGAUUGUCAAAUGUUGUGUCAAUAUGACAAAGCGUAUAGGCGUGAAUCUCAACAAUAUGUAUUUUCACCUUAAGGGACAAGAAAAAAUGGACUUUUUUCUCCUGCCAUGGGGGGGCGCUCUUUUGGGGAGUAAAAAUUCCUUCACAAAUGUGUUGAUGGCUGGACAUUGCAUCAUCCUAGAAAACUUGGAGGCCAGUGAGGACAAAAAUAAAAAGUUAUAAGACUUUUAAAUAUGUGGAUUUUAGGGUUAUCUUUGGCGCCCCCUAGAACCUAAACCGUGGGGUGCAGCGUCAUGAUUUUGAUAACUUUUAAUGGCCAUGGGGUGUAGAUUGGCCUGAGCAAAUGUGGUGCCGGUGGAACGAAAGCCUUAGGAGGAGUUAGCGAAAUUCCAAUGUGUGCGGAUCGGCAAAAAAUGCGGAAUAACCCUUUAACCGUACAUUUGACAGAUAUGCGCGCAUUGACUUUUUCGUAGAUCUUAUUGAGUUACAUGUGUGUGUCAAUUUUUGUGUCAUUUUGACAAAGCGUAUAGGCGUGACACUCAACAAUGUGUAUUUUCACCUUAGGGGACAAGAAAAAAUGGACUUUUUUCUCCUGCCAUGGGGGGGCGCUCUUUUGGGGAGUAAAAAUUCCUUCACAAAUGUGUUGAUGGCUGGACAUUGCAUCAUCCUAGAAAACUUGGAGGCCAGUGAGGACAAAAAUAAAAAGUUAUAAGACUUUUAAAUAUGUGGAUUUUAGGGUUAUCUUUGGCGCCCCCUAGAACCUAAACCGUGGGGUGCAGCGUCAUGAUUUUGAUAACUUUUAAUGGCCAUGGGGUGUAGAUUGGCCUGAGCAAAUGUGGUGCCGGUGGAACGAAAGCCUUAGAGGAGUUAGCGAAAUUCCAAUGUGUGCGGAUCGGCAAAAAAUGCGGAAUAACCCUUUAACCGUACAUUUGACAGAUACGCCCGCACUGACUUUUUUGUAGAUCUUAUUGAGAUACAUGUGUGUGUCAAUUUUUGUGUCAUUUUGACAAAGCGUACAGGCGUGACAGUCAAUAGUGUGAAUUUUCACCUUAGGGGGCGCUAUGGAGCCAUUUUGCAUUUUCUUGUUUGGGCGACUUUGGAAUAUCAAAUUUUUCACCAGGCCCGGUCGUCCUGCCAAAUUUCCUGAGUUUUCGCCAGUGGGAAGUGGGCCAUUUUCCAGUUCAAAGGGGAGGAAAAAGAAGAAAGAAAGAAACAAAGACUAGGACCCCGUUGGGGCACUGGCGGGCCCGAGCCGUGUCGCGUCCCCCCCCCAACGUGCUGCCUCCCCGUCCCAUUUGUGUCCUCUGGCCAUCGCCCUCUCUGGUAACGCCCAUCACUGCAAAGACCCUUUUCCUUCAUCGGCGUUUGCUGUUCUUCCUGCCAGUGCGUGUUGCUUUCACUUACACUUGCCACAGCCAGCCUCGUGAGUGCCUAGCCUAUUGGAUAUCACUGUCACCUACACAGGACAGUCAUUACCUUUCUAUUAAUACUUUGUGUUUUAAUUUCACAUUAAUUUCCAUAUUGUAUAAACGACUGGAAAAAACUUGAGCCCCUGCCCCUGUAUAAUCAUGUGCAUGUCUCUGUUCUAGCUCCAAGGUGAAUCUUCACUGCUCAUGUUCUCCUCAGAAGCACUCACCUCACUCCCCUCAGGUUACUGUACACAUGCACCUACUGCCUGCUUCAGGUUUGGAUGGAGCUUCAUGGUUGUCUUUUGGAGAAAUGACCAGUCAAGUUGUGUUUGAAAUUUGAUUUUUUUCAGGGGCAAAAGGAGCCUCUGCAUUCUUGUCAAAUAUGUAAAUAGCAUGUUUUUGCAGGUGCUAAAAACCAGACUCUGAGUGUGUGUGUGUGUGUGUGUGUGUGUGUGUGUGCGUGUGUGUGUGUCUGUGUGUGCGUUCAAGUCACAUGACAUAUUUAAUCGGAUGUAGCUGCAAGACGGAGCCUCGUUGACUCUCCGUUUCAACUUAUCUCAAAAGUGAGGACCUCAACCUAUAUACCAGUUUUUAAAUUGUGUUGAUAGGCCAAAUAAAACCAGAGUUAUGAUAAAUUAUGUCCGCGAUACUUUUUUUCUGCUUAUUUUGAUCACGUUCGGCGCUCGAGCGCUGUAUGAGACAGGAAAACAUAGCAUGCAGACAUUAGCGACAGGUCUUACAGGCGGAAAAGGCUUGCCAAAAGAAAAAAAAAACACACCACAACAUCUCUCCUAUUGGUGGAAAACUUCACCACAACAACCAAUCCAAAAUUAUAUGGUGACUGAUUGACAAGGGGCGGGCGCUUACGUUCUUCCUGCAACAUGAGAAGCGAGGGAGGGACUCUCAGCAGGGAUGCAGUCUGGGACACGUAGUUGCAAACCUAGCGACUUUGUUGUUAGAUUCAAUGACUUUUCAGACCCCCUAACGACUUUUUUUUAGAAAGAAAGGGACUUUUAUCGACUUCUUCUGGAGUUUAGAGACUCUGACAUGAAGCAGGCUUUCCUUACUGAGGAGUUAGCAACGCUGCUAAGGGUGCAGAGCCACACAUGCGCUCAGAGCUCUGCAUGGGAGACUGAAGCUGACAGAGCUGCAGCAGUUAGCAGGUUUCACCCUCAGAGACCACCAGGGGUUCAUGUUGAGGCAUUUUAAUUUUUUUUUUUUUUUUGUGCCAUAGACACUGUCAGCACAAUCUGCAGUUACACUAACAAAAAUGCUGCAAAAAACAAAGAAUUAUGGAAGAAUUACACAUGGACUGACAUAGAGGAGGAUCUACACAAGUUUUUUACAUCAUGUUUUACAUCAUGCAUCAUUUACAUCAUGUUUUUUUGUAGUGGCAUAAAUAAAAAGUGACAUUUGUGAGACUAUAGUGUUUUGUAAAUAAUUUUACAAAGAACGCCUGGGCCAUUGCCUGCAUUUUGAUGUAAACAGAGGUAAAUCACUAUGUUCUUUGUUAAAAAUUUGCAUAUGUUUUGAAGUUUACAAUUUUUAUUUGAAGUUUAAGUUUUAAAAACAGUUCAUCACACAUAUUAAUGGUUUAAUUUCACAUUAAUUUCCAUAUUGUAUAAAUGACUGGAAAAAACUUGAGCCCCUGCCCCUGUAUAAUCAUGUGCACGUCCCUGUUCUAGCUCCAAGGUGAAUCUUCACUGCUCAUGUUCUCCUCAGAAAUAGUCACCUCACUCCCCUCAGGUUACUGUACACAUGCACCAACUAUCUGCUUCAGGUUUGAAAUGGAGCUUCAUGGUUGUCUUUUGGAGAAAUGAACAGUCAAGUUGUGUUUGAAAUUUGAUUUUUUUCAGGGGCAAAAGGAAGCCUCUGCAUUCUUGUCAAAUAUGUAAACAGCAUGUUUUUGCAGGUGCUAAAAAACAGACUCUGAGUGUGUGUGUGUGUCUCUGUGUGUGUGUGUGUGUGUGUGUGUGUGUAUGUUGGCGUGUGUGUAUAUGUGUGUGUAUCCUGCAGUACUCUGUACUCCUGCAGUGGCCAAAAAGACUUUUAAGAAUGUGGAUUUUUGGGUCAUCUUUGGCGCCCCCUAGAACUGCAGUACUCUGUACUCCUGCAGUGGCCAAAAUGACUUUUAAGAAUGUGGAUUUUUGGGUCAUCUUUGGCGCCCCCUAGAACGUAAACCGUGGGGUGCAGCGUCAUGAUUUUUACAACUUUGAAUGGGCAUGGGGUGUAGAUUGCCCUGAGCAAAUUUGGUAUCGGUGGGACGAAAGCCUUAGGAGGAGAUAGCCACAUUCCAAUGUGUGCGAAUCGGCAAAAAAUGCAAAAUAACCCUUUAACCGUACAUUAUAAAGAUACGCGCUCUUGACUUUUUCGUAGAUCUAAUUGAGAUACACAUGAUUGUCAAUUUUUGUGUCAAUAUGACAAAGCGUUCAGGCGUGACACUCAACAAUGUGUAUUUUCAUGUAAGGGGACAAGAAAAAAUUGACUUUUUUCUCCUACCAUGGGGGGGCGCUCUUUUGGGGAGUAAAAAUUCCUUCACAAAUGUGUUGAUGGCUGGACAUUGCAUCAUCCUAGAAAACUUGGAGGCCAGUGAGGACAAAAAUAAAAAGUUAUAAAACAUUUAAGAAUGUGGAUUUUUGGGUUAUUUUUGGCGCCCCCUAGAACCUAAACCAUGGGGUGCAGCAUCAUGAUUUGAAUAACUUUUAAUGGCCAUGGGGUGUAGAUUGGCCUGAGCAAAUGUGGUGCCGGUGGAACGAAAGCCUUCGGAGGAGUUAGCGAAAUUCCAAUGUGUGCGUAUCGGCAAAAAAUGCGGAAUAACCCUUUAACUGUACAUUUGACAGAUACGCGCGCAUGGACUUUUUUGUAGAUCUUAUUGAGUUACAUGUGUGUGUCAAUUUUUGUGUCAUUUUGACAAAGCGUAUAGGCGUGACACUCAACAAUGUGUAUUUUCACCUUAGGGGACAAGAAAAAAUGGACUUUUUUCUCCUGCCAUGGGGGGGCGCUCUUUUGGGGAGUAAAAAUUCCUUCACAGAUGUGUUGAUGGCUGGACAUUGCAUCAUCCUAGAAAACUUGGAGGCCAGUGAGGACAAAAAUAAAAAGUUAUAAGACUUUUAAAUAUGUGGAUUUUAGGGUUAUUUUUGGCGCCCCCUAGAACCUAAACCGUGGGGUGCAGCGUCAUGAUUUGAAUAACUUUUAAUGGCCAUGGGGUGUAGAUUGGCCUGAGCAAAUGUGGUGCCGGUGGAACGAAAGCCUUCGGAGGAGUUAGCGAAAUUCCAAUGUGUGCAGAUCUGCAAAAAAUGCAAAAUAACCCAUUAACCGUACAUUUGACAGAUACGCCCGCACUGACUUUUUUGUAGAUCUUAUUGAGAUACAUGUGUGUGUCAAUUUUUGUGUCAUUUUGACAAAGCGUACAGGCGUGACAGUGAAUAGUGUGAAUUUUCACCUUAGGGGGCGCUAUGGAGCCAUUUUGCAUUUUCUUGUUUGGGCGACUUCGGAAUAUCAAAUUUUUCACCAGGCCCGGUCGUCCUGCCAAAUUUCAUGAGUUUUCGCCAGUGGGAAGUGGGCCAUUUUCCAGUUCAAAGGGGAGGAAAAAUAAUAAUAAUAACAAAAGAAGGAAACUACAGGAACAAGAGGGCUCUCGCAGCUGCUUAGCAGCUACGCUCGGGCCCUAAAAAACCCCUACAGGAAUAACAGGGCCUACGCCCGGCUGCUCUGCAGCUGGCUCGGGCCCUAACAAAAGAAGGAAACUACAGGAACAAGAGGGCUCUCGCAGCUGCUUAGCAGCUACGCUCGGGCCCUAAAGAAAGAAACAAAGAAAAACCACUUGGGGAAUAAUAGGGCCUACGCCCGGCUGCUCUGCAGCUGGCUCGGGCCCUAAUUAAAACACAAAGUAUUAAUAGAAAGGUAAUGACUGUCCUGUGUAGGUGACAGUGAUAUCCAAUAGGCUAGGCACUCACGAGGCUGGCUGUGGCAAGUGUAAGUGAAAGCAACACGCACUGGCAGGAAGAACAGCAAACGCCGAUGAAGGAAAAGGGUCUUUGCAGUGAUGGGCGUUACCAGAGAGGGCGAUGGCCAGAGGACACAAAUGGGACGGGGAGGCAGCACGUUGGGGGGGGACGCGACACGGCUCGGGCCCGCCAGUGCCCCAACGGGGUCCUAGUUAGGGCCCGAGCGUAGCUGCUAAGCAGCUGCGAGAGCCCUAUUAUUCCCCAAGUGGUUUUUCUUUGUUUCUUUCUUUCUUUUUUCUUUUUCCUCCCCUUUGAACUUGAAAAUGGCCCACUUCCCACUGGCGAAAACUCAUGAAAUUUGGCAGGAUGACCGGGCCUGGUGAAAAAUUUGAUAUUCCGAAGUCGCCCAAACAAGAAAAUGCAAAAUGGCUCCAUAGCGCCCCCUAAGGUGAAAAUUCACACUAUUGACUGUCACGCCUGUACGCUUUGGCAAAAUGACACAAAAAUUGACACACACAUGUAUCUCAAUAAGAUCUACAAAAAAGUCAGUGCGGUCGUAUCUGUCAAAUGUACGGUUAAAGGGUUAUUGCGCAUUUUUUGCCGAUCCGCACACAUUGGAAUUUCGCUAACUCCUCCGAAGGCUUUCGUUCCACCGGCACCACAUUUGCUCAGGUCAAUCUACACCCCGUGGCCAUUAAAAGUUAUCAAAAUCAUGACGCUGCACCCCAAGGUUUAGGUUCUAGGGGGCGCCAAAGAUAACACUAAAAUCCACAUAUUUAAAAGUCUUAUAACUUUUUAUUUUUGUCCUCACUGGCCUCCAAGUUUUCUAGGAUGAUGCAAUGUCCAGCCAUCAACAGAUUUGUGAAGGAAUUUUUACUCCCCAAAAGAGCGCCCCCCCAUGGCAGGAGAAAAAAGUCCAUUUUUUCUUGUCCCUUAAGGUGAAAAUACACAUUGUUGAGUGUCACGCCUAUACGCUUUGUCAAAAUGACACAAAAAUUGACACACACAUGUAACUCAAUAAGAUCUACAAAAAAGUCAAUGCGCGCGUAUCUGUCAAAUGUACGGUUAAAGGGUUAUUCCGCAUUUUUUGCCGAUUCGCACACAUUGGAAUUUCGCUAACUCCUCCGAAGGCUUUCGUUCCACCGGCACCACAUUUGCUCAGGCCAAUCUACACCCCAUGGCCAUUAAAAGUUAUCAAAAUCAUGACGCUGCACCCCACGGUUUACGUUCUAGGGGGCGCCAAAGAUAACCCUAAAAUCCACAUAUUUAAAAGUCUUAUAACUUUUUAUUUUUGUCCUCACUGGCCUCCAAGUUUUCUAGGAUGAUGCAAUGUCCAGCCAUCAACACAUUUGUGAAGGAAUUUUUACUCCCCAAAAGAGCGCCCCCCCAUGGCAGGAGAAAAAAGUCCAUUUUUUCUUGUCCCUUAAGGUGAAAAUACAUAUUGUUGAGAUUCACGCCUAUACGCUUUGUCAUAUUGACACAAAAUUUGACAAUCACGUGCCUUGCCUGGUAUCAUUUUUUUCAGCACAACCUCACCUGUGCGAAUUUACAGUUAUUUUAUCAUGUUGACAUACUGAAUUUACACAAUGGACCCAAAUUCACACACAAAACAUAAAAUCCGAGUGGAAAAAAGUAACAUUUUUACUGUGAAAACCACAAAUAUGUGUGAUGAACUGUUUUUAAAACUUAAACUUCAAAUAAAAAUUGUAAACUUCAAAACAUAUGCAAAUUUUUAACAAAGAACAUAGUGAUUUACCUCUAUUUACAUCAAAAUGCAGGCAAUGGCCCAGGCGUUCUUUGUAAAAUUAUUUACAAAACACUGUAUAGUCUCACAAAUGUCACUUUUUAUUUAUGCCACUACAAAAAAACAUGAUGUAAAUGAUGCAUGAUGUAAAACAUGAUGUAAAAAACUUGUGUAGAUCCUCCUCUAUGUCAGUCCAUGUGUAAUUUUUCCAUAAUUCUUUGUUUUUUGCAGCAUUUUUGUUAGUGUAACUGCAGAUUGUGCUGACAGUGUCUAUGGCACAAAAAAAAAAAAAAUUAAAAUGCCUCAACAUGAACCCCUGGUGAUCUCUGAGGGUGAAACCUGCUAACUGCUGCAGCUCUGUCAGCUUCAGUCUCCCAUGCAGAGCUCGGAGCGCAUGUGUGGCUCUGCACCCUUAGCAGCGUUGCUAACUCCUCAGUAAGGAAAGCCUGCUUCAUGUCAGAGUCUCUAAACUCCAGAAGAAGUCGAUAAAAGUCACUUUCUUUCUAAAAAAAAGUCGUUAGGGGGUCUGAAAAGUCAUUGAAUCUAACAACAAAGUCGCUAGGUUUGCAACUACGUGUCCCAGACUGCAUCCCUGCUGAGAGUCCCUCCCUCCCUUCUCAUAUUGCAGGAAGAACGUAAGUUCCCGCCCCUUGUCAAUCAGUCACCAUAUAAUUUUGGAUUGGUUGUUGUGGUGAAGUUUUCCACCAAUAGGAGAGAUGUUGUGGUGUGUAUUUUUUUUCCUUUGGCAAGCCUUUUCCGCCUGUAAGACCUGUCGCUAAUGUCUGCAUGCUAUGUUUUCCUGUCUCAUACAGCGCGAUCGAGCGCCGAACGUGAUCAAAAUAAGCAGAAAACAAGUAUCGCGGACAUAAUUUAUCAUAACUCUGGUUUUAUUUGGCCUAUCAACACAAUUUAAAAACUGGUAUAUAGGUUGAGGUCCUCACUUUUGAGAUAAAUUGAAACGGAGAGUCAACGAGGCUCCGUCUUGCAUCUACAUCCGGUUAAAUAUGUCAUGUGACUUGAACGCACACACACACACACACACAGACACACACACACGCACACACACACACUCAGAGUCUGGUUUGUAGCACCUGCAAAAACAUGCUAUUUACAUAUUUGACAAGAAUGCAGAGGCUCCUUUUGCCCCUGAAAAAAAUCAAAUUUCAAACACAACUUGACUGGUCAUUUCUCCAAAAGACAACCAUGAAGCUCCAUCCAAACCUGAAGCAGGCAGUUGGUGCAUGUGUACAGUAACCUGAGGGGAGUGAGGUGACUGCUUCUGAGGAGAACAUGAGCAGUGAAGAUUCACCUUAGAGCUAGAACAGAGACGUGCACAUGAUUAUACAGGGGCAGGGGCUCAAGUUUUUUCCAGUUGUUUAUACAAUAUGGAAAUUAAUGUGAAAUUAAAAAACAAAGUAUUAAUAGAAAGGUAAUGACUGUCCUGAGUAGGUGACAGUGAUAUCCAAUAGGCUAGGCACUCAAGAGGCUGGCUGUGGCAAGUGUAAGUGAAAGCAACACGCACUGGCAGGAAGAACAGCAAACGCCGAUGAAGGAAAAGGGUCUUUGCAGUGAUGGGCGUUACCAGAGAGGGCGAUGGCCAGAGGACACAAAUGGGACGGGGAGGCAGCGCGUUGGGGGGGGGGACGCGACACAGCUCGGGCCCGCCAGUGCCCCAACGGGGUCCUAGUUAGGGCCCGAGCCAGCUGCAGAGCAGCCGGGCGUAGGCCCUAUUAUUCCCCAAGUGGUUUUUCUUUGUUUCUUUCUUUCUUUCUUUCUUUCUUCUUUUUCCUCCCCUUUGAACUGGAAAAUGGCCCACUUCCCACUGGCGAAAACUCAUGAAAUUUGGCAGGACGACCGGGCCUGGUGAAAAAUUCGAUAUUCUGAAGUCGCCCAAACAAUAAAAUGCAAAAUGGCUCCAUAGCGCCCCCUAAGGUGGAAAUUCACACUAUUGACUGUCACGCCUGUACGCUUUGUCAUAUUGACACAAAAAUUGACACACAUAUGUAUCUCAAUAAGAUCUACAAAAAAGUCAGUGCGGCCGUAUCUGUCAAAAUUACGGUUAAAGGGUUAUUUCGCAUUUUUUGCCGAUCCGCACACAUUGGAAUUUCGCUAACUCCUCCGAAGGCUUUCGUUCCACCGGCACCACAUUUGCUCAGGCCAAUCUACACCCCGUGGCCAUUAAAAGUUAUCAAAAUCAUGACGCUGCACCCCAAGGUUUAGGUUCUAGGGGGCGCCAAAGAUAACACUAAAAUCCACAUAUUUAAAAGUCUUAUAACUUUUUAUUUUUGUCCUCACUGGCCUCCAAGUUUUCUAGGAUGAUGCAAUGUCCAGCCAUCAACACAUUUGUGAAGGAAUUUUUACUCCCCAAAAGAGCGCCCCCCCAUGGCAGGAGAAAAAAGUCCAUUUUUUCUUGUCCCCUAAGGUGAAAAUACACAUUGUUGAGUGUCACGCCUAUACGCUUUGUCAAAAUGACACAAAAAUUGACACACACAUGUAACUCAAUAAGAUCUACGAAAAAGUCAAUGCGUGCGUAUCUGUCAAAUGUACGGUUAAAGGGUUAUUUCGCAUUUUUUGCCGAUCCGCACACAUUGGAAUUUCGCUAACUCCUCCGAAGGCUUUCGUUCCACCGGCACCACAUUUGCUCAGGCCAAUCUACACCCCGUGGCCAUUAAAAGUUAUCAAAAUCAUGACGCUGCACCCCAAGGUUUAGGUUCUAGGGGGCGCCAAAGAUAACCCUAAAAUCCACAUAUUUAAAAGUCUUAUAACUUUUUAUUUUUGUCCUCACUGGCCUCCAAGUUUUCUAGGAUGAUGCAAUGUCCAGCCAUCAACACAUUUGUGAAGGAAUUUUUACUCCCCAAAAGAGCGCCCCCCCAUGGCAGGAGAAAAAGUCCAUUUUUUCUUGUCCCCUAAGGUGAAAAUUCACAUUGUUGAGUGUCACGCCUAUACGCUUUGUCAAAAUGACACAAAAAUUGACACACACAUGUAACUCAAUAAGAUCUACGAAAAAGUCAAUGCGCGCGUAUCUGUCAAAUGUAUGGUUAAAGGGUUAUUUCGCAUUUUUUGCCGAUCCGCACACAUUGGAAUGUGGCUAACUCCUCCUAAGGCUUUCGUUCCACCGGCACCACAUUUGCUCAGGCCAAUCUACACCCCAUGGCCAUUAAAAGUUAUUCAAAUCAUGACGCUGCACCCCACGGUUUAGGUUCUAGGGGGCGCCAAAGAUAACCCUAAAAUCCACAUAUUUAAAAGUCUUAUAACUUUUUAUUUUUGUCCUCACUGGCCUCCAAGUUUUCUAGGAUGAUGCAAUGUCCAGCCAUCAACACAUUUGUGAAGGAAUUUUUACUCCCCAAAAGAGCGCCCCCCGAUGGCAGGAGAAAAAAGUCCAUUUUUUCUUGUCCCCUAAGGUGAAAAUACAUAUUGUUGAGAUUCACGCCUAUACGCUUUGUCAUAUUGACACAAAAUUUGACAAUCACGUGCCUUGCCUGGUAUCAUUUUUUUCAGCACAACCUCACCUGUGCGAAUUUACAGUUAUUUUAUCAUGUUGACAUACUGAAUUUACACAAUGGACCCAAAUUCACACACAAAACAUAAAAUCCGAGUGGAAAAAAGUAACAUUUUUACUGUGAAAACCACAAAUAUGUGUGAUGAACUGUUUUUAAAACUUAAACUUCAAAUAAAAAUUGUAAACUUCAAAACAUAUGCAAAUUUUUAACAAAGAACAUAGUGAUUUACCUCUAUUUACAUCAAAAUGCAGGCAAUGGCCCAGGCGUUCUUUGUAAAAUUAUUUACAAAACACUGUAUAGUCUCACAAAUGUCACUUUUUAUUUAUGCCACUACAAAAAAACAUGAUGUAAAUGAUGCAUGAUGUAAAACAUGAUGUAAAAAACUUGUGUAGAUCCUCCUCUAUGUCAGUCCAUGUGUAAUUUUUCCAUAAUUCUUUGUUUUUUGCAGCAUUUUUGUUAGUGUAACUGCAGAUUGUGCUGACAGUGUCUAUGGCACAAAAAAAAAAAAAAAUUAAAAUGCCUCAACAUGAACCCCUGGUGGUCUCUGAGGGUGAAACCUGCUAACUGCUGCAGCUCUGUCAGCUUCAGUCUCCCAUGCAGAGCUCUGAGCGCAUGUGUGGCUCUGCACCCUUAGCAGCGUUGCUAACUCCUCAGUAAGGAAAGCCUGCUUCAUGUCAGAGUCUCUAAACUCCAGAAGAAGUCGAUAAAAGUCCCUUUCUUUCUAAAAAAAAGUCGUUAGGGGGUCUGAAAAGUAAUUGAAUCUAACAACAAAGUCGCUAGGUUUGCAACUACGUGUCCCAGACUGCAUCCCUGCUGAGAGUCCCUCCCUCGCUUCUCAUGUUGCAGGAAGAACGUAAGCACCCGCCCCUUGUCAAUCAGUCACCAUAUAAUUUUGGAUUGGUUGUUGUGGUGAAGUUUUCCACCAAUAGGAGAGAUGUUGUGGUGUGUUUUUUUUUUCUUUUGGCAAGCCUUUUCCGCCUGUAAGACCUGUCGCUAAUGUCUGCAUGCUAUGUUUUCCUGUCUCAUACAGCGCGAUCGAGCGCCGAACGUGAUCAAAAUAAGCAGAAAAAAAGUAUCGCGGACAUAAUUUAUCAUAACUCUGGUUUUAUUUGGCCUAUCAACACAAUUUAAAAACUGGUAUAUAGGUUGAGGUCCUCACUUUUGAGAUAAGUUGAAACGGAGAGUCAACGAGGCUCCGUCUUGCAGCUACAUCCGGUUAAAUAUGUCAUGUGACUUGAACGCACACACAGACACACACACACGCACACACACACACACACACACACACACUCAGAGUCUGGUUUUUAGCACCUGCAAAAACAUGCUAUUUACAUAUUUGACAAGAAUGCAGAGGCUCCUUUUGCCCCUGAAAAAAAUCUAAUUUCAAACACAACUUGACUGCUCAUUUCUCCAAAAGACAACCAUGAAGCUCCAUCCAAACCUGAAGCAGGCAGUUGGUGCAUGUGUACAGUAACCUGAGGGGAGUGAGGUGAGUGCUUCUGAGGAGAACAUGAGCAGUGAAGAUUCACCUUGGAGCUAGAACAGAGACAUGCACAUGAUUAUACAGGGGCAGGGGCUCAAGUUUUUUCCAGUCGUUUAUAUCAUAUGGAAAUUAAUGUGAAAUUAAAACACAAAGUAUUAAUAGAAAGGUAAUGACUGUCCUGUGUAGGUGACAGUGAUAUCCAAUAGGCUAGGCACUCACGAGGCUGGCUGUGGCAAGUGUAAGUGAAAGCAACACGCACUGGCAGGAAGAACAGCAAACGCCGAUGAAGGAAAAGGGUCUUUGCAGUGAUGGGCGUUACCAGAGAGGGCGAUGGCCAGAGGACACAAAUGGGACGGGGAGGCAGCACGUUGGGGGGGGGGGACGGGACACGGCUCGGGCCCGCCAGUGCCCCAACGGGGUCCUAGUUCUUCUUUUUCCUCCCCUUUGAACUGGAAAAUGGCCCACUUCCCACUGGCGAAAACUCAUGAAAUUUGGCAGGAUGACCGGGCCUGGUGAAAAAUUUGAUAUUCCGAAGUCGCCCAAACAAGAAAAUGCAAAAUGGCUCCAUAGCGCCCCCUAAGGUGAAAAUUCACACUAUUGACUGUCACGCCUUUACGCUUUGUCAUAUUGACACAAAAAUUGACACACACAUGUAUCUCAAUAAGAUCUACAAAAAGGUCAGUGCGGGCGUAUCUGUCAAAUGUACGGUUAUAGGGUUAUUCCGCAUUUUUUGCCGAUACGCACACAUUGGAAUUUCGCUAACUCCUCCGAAGGCUUUCGUUCCACCGGCACCACAUUUGCUCAGGCCAAUCUACACCCCAUGGCCAUUAAAAGUUAUUAAAAUCAUGACGCUGCACCCCACAGUUUAGGUUCUAGGGGGCGCCAAAGAUAACCCUAAAAUCCACAUAUUUAAAAGUCUUAUAACUUUUUAUUUUUGCCCUCACUGGCCUCCAAGUUUUCUAGGAUGAUGCAAUGUCCAGCCAUCAACACAUUUGUGAAGGAAUUUUUACUCCCCAAAAGAGCGCCCCCCCAUGGCAGGAGAAAAAAGUCAAUUUUUUCUUGUCCCCUAAGGUGAAAAUACACAUUGUUGAGUGUCACGCCUGUACGCUUUGUCAUAUUGACACAAAAUUUGACACACACAUGUAUCUCAAUAAGAUCUACGAAAAAGUCAAUGCGCGCGUAUCUGUCAAAUGUACGGUUAAAGGGUUAUUCCGCAUUUUUUGCUGAUCCGCACACAUUGGAAUUUCGCUAACUCCUCCUAAGGCUGGCGUUCCACCGGCACCACAUUUGCUCAGGCCAAUCUACACCCCAUGGCCAUUAAAAGUUAUUCAAAUCAUGACGCUGCACCCCACGGUUUAGGUUCUAGGGGGCGCCAAAGAUAACCCUAAAAUCCACAUUUUUAAAAGUCUUAUAACUUUUUAUUUUUGUCCUCACUGGCCUCCAAGUUUUCUAGGAUGAUGCAAUGUCCAGCCAUCAACACAUUUGUGAAGGAAUUUUUACUCCCUAAAAGAGCGCCCCCCCAUGGCAGGAGAAAAAAGUCCAUUUUUUCUUGUCCCCUAAGGUGAAAAUACACAUUGUUGACUGUCACGCCUGUACGCUUUGGCAAAAUGACACAAAAAUUGACAAUCAUGUGUAUCUCAAUUAGAUCUACGAAAAAGUCAAAGAGCGCGUAUCUGUAUAAUGUACGGUAAAAGGGCUAUUUUGCAUUUUUUGCCGAUUCGCACACAUUGGAAUUUCGCUAACUCCUCCUAAGGCUUUCGUCCCACUGACACCAAAUUUGCUCAGGCCAAUCUACACUCCAUGGCCAUUCAAAGUUGUAAAAAUCAUGACGCUGCACCCCACGGUUUACGUUUAAGGGGGGGCCAAAGAUGACCCAAAUAUACAUUACAGUAGACAAAGUAGUUUUGCCCACUGAGUGGCGCCAAAGGGACUUGUCUGUGGAGUCUGUGAGUCACUAUUGGCCGUUUUUGACUACUUUAGAUUUUACCUUUAUAUUUCCUCUUACAAAAUUUUUACCUUGCCUUGCCUGGUAUCAUUUUUUUCAGCACAACCUCACCUGUGUCAAUUUACAGUUAUUUUAUCAUUUUGACAUACUAUAUUUAAACAUUGGACCCAAAUUCACACACAAAACAUAAAAUCCGAGUGGAAAAAAGUAACGUUUUUACUGUGAAAACCACAAAUAUGUGUGAUGAACUGUUUUUAAAACUUAAACUUCAAAUAAAAAUUGUAAACUUCAAAACAUAUGCAAAUUUUUAACAAAGAACAUAGUAAUUUACCUCUAUUUACAUCAAAAUGCAGGCAAUGGCCCAGGCGUUCUUUGUAAAAUUAUUUACAAAACACUGUAUAGUCUCACAAAUCUCACUUUUUAUUUAUGCCACUACAAAAAAACAUGAUGUAAAUGAUGCAUGAUGUAAAACAUGAUGUAAAAAACUUGUGUAGAUCCUCCUCUAUGUUAGUCCAUGUGUAAUUUUUCCAUAAUUCUUUGUUUUUUGCAGCAUUUUUGUUAGUGUAACUGCAGAUUGUGCUGACAGUGUCUAUGGCAAAAAAAAAAAAAAAAAACUGAAAAUGCCUCAACAUGAACCCCUGGUGGUCUCUGAGGGUGAAACCUGCUAACUGCUGCAGCUCUGUCAGCUUCAGUCUCCCAUGCAGAGCUCGGAGCGCAUGUGUGGCUCUGCACCCUUAGCAGCGUUGCUAACUCCUCAGUAAGGAAAGCCUGCUUCAUGUCAGAGUCUCUAAACUCCAGAACUCCAGAAGAAGUCGAUAAAAGUCCCUUUCUUUCUAAAAAAAAGUCAUUAGGGGGUCUGAAAAGUCAUUGAAUCUAACAACAAAGUCGCUAGGUUUGAAACUACGUGUCCCAGACUGCAUCCCUGCUGAGAGUCCCUCCCUCCCUUCUCAAGUUGCAGGAAGAACGUAAGCGCCCGCCCCUUGUCAAUCAGUCACCAUAUAAUUUUGGAUUGGUUGUUGUGGUGAAGUUUUCCACCAAUAGGAGAGAUGUUGUAGUGUGUUUUUUUUUUCUUUUGGCAAGCCUUUUCCGCCUGUAAGACCUGUCGCUAAUGUGUGCAUGCUAUGUUUUCCUGUCUCAUACAGCGCGAUCGAGCGCCGAACGUGAUCAAAAUAAGCAGAAAUAAGUAUUGCGGACAUAAUUUAUCAUAACUCUGGUUUUAUUUGGCCUAUCAACACAAUUUAAAAACUGGUAUAUAGUUUGAGGUCCUCACUUUUAAGAUAAGUUGAAACGAAGAAUCAACGAGGCUCCGUCUUGCAGCUACAUCCGGUUAAAUAUGUCAUGUGACUUGAACGCUGGGGAGCGUCAAUCGAAUCGAAUCAAACCUAACUCUCAGAUGAAUCUUCAAAAUUCACCUCAGAAAUAUGCUUAUUAUUCUUCUCAGAGUACUGCAGGAUACACACACACACAGACACACACACACACACGCACACACACUCAGAGUCUGUUUUUUAGCACCUGCAAACACAUGCUAUUUACAUAUUUGACAAGAAUGCAGAGGCUUUCUUUUGCCUCUGAAAAAAAUCAAAUUUCAAACACAACUUGACUGCUCAUUUCUCCAAAAGACAACCAUGAAGCUCCAUCCAAACCUGAAGCAGGCAGUUGGUGCAUGUGUACAGUAACCUGAGGGGAGUGAGGUGACUGCUUCUGAGGAGAACAUGAGCAGUGAAGAUUCACCUUGGAGCUAGAACAGGGACGUGCACAUGAUUAUACAGGGGCAGGGGCUCAAGUUUUUUCCAGUCGUUUAUACAAUAUGGAAAUUAAUGUGAAAUUAAAAAACAAAGUAUUAAUAGAAAGGUAAUGACUGUCCUGUGUAGGUGACAGUGAUAUCCAAUAGGCUAGGCACUCACGAGGCUGGCUGUGGCAAGUGUAAGUGAAAGCAACACGCACUGGCAGGAAGAACAGCAAACGCCGAUGAAGGAAAAGGGUCUUUGCAGUGAUGGGCGUUACCAGAGAGGGCGAUGGCCAGAGGACGCGAAUGGGACGGGGAGGCAGCGCGUUGGGGGGGGGCGCGACACGGCUCGGGCCCGCCAGUGCCCCAACGGGGCCCUAGUUAGGGCCCGAGCGUAGCUGCUAAGCAGCUGCGAGAGCCCUCUUGUUCCUGAUGGAUUCUUCUUUUGUUAUUUUUCCUCCGCUUUAAACUGGAAAAUGGCCCACUUCCCACUGGCGAAAACUCAGGAAAUUUGGCAGGACGACCGGGCCUGGUGAAAAAUUCGAUAAUCUGAAGUCGUCCAAACAAAAAAAUGAAAAAUGGCUCCAUAGCGCCCCCUAUGGUGAAAACUCACCUGAUGCCUGUACGCUUUGUCAAAAUGACACAAAAUUUGACACACAUGUGUAUCUCAAUAAGAUCUACGAAAAAGUCAGUGCGGGCGUAUCUGUCAAAUGUACGGUUAAAGGGCUAUUUCGCUUUUUUUGCAGAUCCGCACACAUUGGAAUUUCGCUAACUCCUCCGAAGGCUUUCGUUCCACCGGCACCAAAUUUGCUCAGGCCAAUCUACACCCCAUGGCCAUUAAAAGUUGUACAAAUCAUGCCGCUGCACCCCACGGUUUACUUUCUAGGGGGCGCCAAAGAUAACACAAAAAUCCACAUUCUUAAAAGUCUUAUAACUUUUUAUUUUUGUCCUCACUGGCCUCCAAGUUUUCUAGGAUGAUGCAAUGUCCAGCCAUCAACACAUUUGUGAAGGAAUUUUUACUCCCCAAAAGAGCGCCCCCCCAUGGCAGGAGAAAAAAGUCCAUUUUUUCUUGUCUCCUAAGGUAAAAAUACACAUUGUUGAGUGUCACGCCUAUACACUUUGUCAUAUUGACACACAAUUUGACAAUCACGUGUAUCUCAAUAAGAUCUACAAAAAAGUCAAUAGGCACGUAUCUGUCAAAUGUAUGGUUAAAGGGCUAUUUCGCAUUUUUUGCCGAUUCGCACACAUUGGAAUGUGGCUAUCUCCUCCUAAGGCUUUCGUCCCACCGAUACCAAAUUUGCUCAGGGCAAUCUACACCCCAUGGCCAUUCAAAGUUGUAAAAAUCAUGACGCUGCACCCCACGGUUUACGUUCUAGGGGGCGCCAAAGAUGACCCAAAAAUCCACAUUCUUAAAAGUCAUUUUGGCCACUGCAGGAGUACAGAGUACUGCAGUUCUAGGGGGCGCCAAAGAUGACCCAAAAAUCCACAUUCUUAAAAGUCUUUUUGGCCACUGCAGGAGUACAGAGUACUGCCGGACACACACACAUAUACACACACGCCAACACACACACACACACACACACACACUCAGAGUCUGGUUUUUAGCACCUGCAAAAACAUGCUGUUUACAUAUUUGACAAGAAUGCAGAGGCUUCCUUUUGCCCCUGAAAAAAAUCAAAUUUCAAACACAACUUGACUGUUCAUUUCUCCAAAAGACAACCAUGAAGCUCCAUCCAAACCUGAAGCAGAUAGUUGGUGCAUGUGUACAGUAACCUGAGGAGAGUGAGGUGACUACUUCUGAGGAGAACAUGAGCAGUGAAGAUUCACCUUGGAGCUAGAACAGGGACGUGCACAUGAUUAUACAGGGGCAGGGGCUCAAGUUUUUUCCAGUCAUUUAUACAAUAUGGAAAUUAAUGUGAAAUUAAACCACAAAUAUGUGUGAUGAACUGUUUUUAACACUUAAACUUCAAAUAAAAAUUGUAAACUUCAAAACAUAUGCAAAUUUUUAACAAAGAGCAUAGUAAUUUACCUCUAUUUACAUCAAAAUGCAGGCAAUGGCCCAGGCGUUCUUUGUAAAAUUAUUUACAAAAGACUGUAUAGUCUCACAAAUGUCACUUUUUAUUUAUGCCACUACAAAAAAACAUGAUGUAAAUGAUGCAUGAUGUAAAACAUGAUGUAAAAAACUUGUGUAGAUCCUCCUCUAUGUCAGUCCAUGUGUAAUUUUUCCAUAAUUCUUUGUUUUUUGCAGCAUUUUUGUUAGUGUAACUGCAGAUUGUGCUGACAGUGUCUAUGGCAAAAAAAAAAAAAACUGAAAAUGCCUCAACAUGAACUCCUGGUGGUCUCUGAGGGUGAAACCUGCUAACUGCUGCAGCUCUCUCAGCUCUAGUCUCCCAUGCAGAGCUCGGAGCGCAUGUGUGGCUCUGCACCCUUAGCAGCGUUGCUAACUCCUCAGUAAGGAAAGCCUGCUUCAUGUCAGAGUCUCUAAACUCCAGAGGAAGUCGAUAAAAUUCCCUUUCUUUCUAAAAAAAGUCGUUAGGGGGUCUGAAGAGUCAUUGAAUCUAACAACAAAGUCGCUAGGUUUGCAACUACGUUUCCCAGACUGCAUCCCUGCUGAGAGUUCCUCCCUCCCUUCUCAUAUUGCAGGAAGAACGUAAGCGCCCGCCCCUUGUCAAUCAGUCACCAUAUAAUUUUGGAUUGGUUGUUGUGGUGAAGUUUUCCACCAAUAGGAGAGAUGUUGUGGUGUGUUUUUUUUUUCUUUUGGCAUGCCUUUUCCGCCUGUAAGAGCUGUCGCUAAUGUCUGCAUGCUAUGUUUUCCUGUCUCAUACAGCGUGAUCGAGCGCCGAACGUGAUCAAAAUAAGCAGAAAAAAAGUAUCGCGGACAUAAUUUAUCAUAACUCUGGUUUUAUUUGGCCUAUCAACACAAUUUAAAAACUGGUAUAUAGUUUGAGGUCCUCACUUUUGAGAUAAGUUGAAACGGAGGGUGAACGAGGCUCCGUCUUGCAGCUACAUCCGGUUAAAUAUGUCAUGUGACUUGAACGCUGGGGAGCGUCAAUCGACUGCAGAGCCAGCAGACAAAGUAGUUAUGCCACUGAGAGGCACACAUUUGUCAUAUGCUAUAAUCCUAACAUAUUUUAAUGCUUUUUCUAUUUAAACCUAAUGGAUCUAAGGUUUGACCUUCAAAAUUUAGGAAGAAUAUUUUUUUGCAGUAAUGACCCCCUUAAACAACCAGAGGUCCUUUCCUAAAGUUUAUGGAAAUUUUAGUGAAGGCCUUGGUUUCUUUCCUUGCAAAAUGUAUAGAAAUAAUAAAGCUAAAUACCAUAAAAUGGUCUUGGCGUAUUAGCAGUGAUAUAAAAUAGUGGUUUGAAUAUGAAUGAACAACAAAAAAAAACAUCAACAGAGCCUUUUUGAGUUGGGAUUCUUUCAUUAUCACACAAAAACAGACAUAGACAGACAUCUAAAGGGUAAGGGAAUGAUCAGCCCUCCUAACUCUCAGAUGAAUCUUCAAAAUUCACCGCAGAAAUAUGCUUAUUAUUCUUCUCAGAGUACUGCAAGAUAUAUACACACACACAGACACACACACACACACACACACACACACACACACACACACACACACACACACACACACACACACUCAGAGUCUGUUUUUUAGCACCUGCAAAAACAUGCUAUUUACAUAUUUGACAAGAAUGCAGAGGCUCCUUUUGCCCCUGAAAAAAAUCAAAUUUCAAACACAACUUGACUGCUCAUUUCUCCAAAAGACAACCAUGAAGCUCCAUCCAAACCUGAAGCAGGCAGUUGGUGCAUGUGUACAGUAACCUGAGGGGAGUGAGGUGACUGCUUCUGAGGAGAACAUGAGCAGUGAAGAUUCACCUUGGAGCUAGAACAGGGACGUGCACAUGAUUAUACAGGGGCAGGGGCUCAAGUUUUUUCCAGUCAUUUAUACAAUAUGGAAAUUAAUGUGAAAUUAAAAAACAAAGUAUUAAUAGAAAGGUAAUGACUGUCCUGUGUAGAUGACAGUGAUAUCCAAUAGGCUAGGCACUCACGAGGCUGGCUGUGGCAAGUGUAAGUGAAAGCAACACGCACUGGCAGGAAGAACAGCAAACGCCGAUGAAGGAAAAGGGUCUUUGCAGUGAUGGGCGUUACCAGAGAGGGCGAUGGCCAGAGGACACGAAUGGGACGGGGAGGCAGCGCGUUGGGGGGGGGGGGCGGCGCGACACGGCUCGGGCCCGCCAGUGCCCCAACGGGGCCCUAGUUAUUAUUUUUCCUCCGCUUUAAACUGGAAAAUGGCCCACUUCCCACUGGCGAAAACUCAGGAAAUUUGGCAGGACGACCGGGCCUGGUGAAAAAUUCGAUAUUCUGAAGUCGCCCAAACAAUAAAAUGCAAAAUGGCUCCAUAGCGCCCCCUAAGGUGAAAAUUCACAUGACGGCUGUACGCUUUGUCAUAUUGACACAAAAAUUGACACACACAUGUAUCUCAAUAAGAUCUACAAAAAAGUCAGUGCGGGCGUAUCUGUCAAAUGUACGGUUAAAGGGUUAUUUUGCAUUUUUUGCAGAUCUGCACACAUUGGAAUUUCGCUAACUCCUCCGAAGGCUUUCGUUCCACCGGCACCACAUUUGCUCAGGCCAAUCUACCCCCCAUGGCCAUUAAAAGUUGUACAAAUCAUGACGCUGCACCCCACGGUUUACGUUCUAGGGGGCGCCAAAGAUAACCCAAAAUCCACAUUCUUAAAAGUCUUAUAACUUUUUAUUUUUGUCCUCACUGCCCUCCAAGUUUUCUAGGAUGAUGCAAUGUCCAGCCAUCAACACAUUUGUGAAGGAAUUUUUACUCCCCAAAAGAGCGCCCCCCCAUGGCAGGAGAAAAAAGUCAAUUUUUUCUUGUCCCCUUACAUGAAAAUACACAUUGUUGAGUGUCACGCCUGAACGCUUUGUCAUAUUGACACAAAAAUUGACAAUCAUGUGUAUCUCAAUUAGAUCUACGAAAAAGUCAAAAAGCGCGUAUCUGUAUAAUGUACGGUUAAAGGGCUAUUUCGCAUUUUUUGCCGAUCCGCACACAUUGGAAUGUGGCUAUCUCCUCCUAAGGCUUUCGUCCCACCAAUACCAAAUUUGCUCAGGGCAAUCUACACCCCAUGGCCAUUCAAAGUUGUAAAAAUCAUGACGCUGCACCCCACGGUUUACGUUCUAGGGGGCGCCAAAGAUGACCCAAAAAUCCACAUUCUUAAAAGUCAUUUUGGCCACUGCAGGAGUACAGAGUACUGCAGUUCUAGGGGGCGCCAAAGAUGACCCAAAAAUCCACAUUCUUAAAAGUCUUUUUGGCCACUGCAGGAGUACAGAGUACUGCAGGAUACACACACAUAUACACACACACACACACACACACACACACACACACACACACACACACACACACUCAGAGUCUGUUUUUUAGCACCUGCAAAAACAUGCUGUUUACAUAUUUGACAAGAAUGCAGAGGCUUCCUUUUGCCCCUGAAAAAAAGCAAAUUUCAAACACAACUUGACUGUUCAUUUCUCCAAAACACAACCAUGAAGCUCCAUCCAAACCUGAAGCAGAUAGUUGGUGCAUGUGUACAGUAACCUGAGGGGAGUGAGGUGACUAUUUCUGAGGAGAACAUGAGCAGUGAAGAUUCACCUUGGAGCUAGAACAGGGACGUGCACAUGAUUAUACAGGGGCAGGGGCUCAAGUUUUUUCCAGUCAUUUAUACAAUAUGGAAAUUAAUGUGAAAUUAAACCACAAAUAUGUGUGAUGAACUGUUUUUAAAACUUAAACUUCAAAUAAAAAUUGUAAACUUCAAAACAUAUGCAAAUUUUUAACAAAGAACAUAGUAAUUUACCUCUAUUUACAUCAAAAUGCAGGCAAUGGCCCAGGCGUUCUUUGUAAAAUUAUUUACAAAACACUGUAUAGUCUCACAAAUGUCACUUUUUAUUUAUGCCACUACAAAAAAACAUGAUGUAAAUGAUGCAUGAUGUAAAACAUGAUGUAAAAAACUUGUGUAGAUCCUCCUCUAUGUCAGUCCAUGUGUAAUUUUUCCAUAAUUCUUUGUUUUUUGCAGCAUUUUUGUUAGUGUAACUGCAGAUUGUGCUGACAGUCUAUGGCAAAAAAAACAAAAACUGAAAAUGCCUCAACAUGAACCCCUGGUGGUCUCUGAGGGUGAAACCUGCUAACUGCUGCAGCUCUGUCAGCUUCAGUCUCCCAUGCAGAGCUCGGAGCGCAUGUGUGGCUCUGCACCCUUAGCAGCGUUGCUAACUCCUCAGUAAGGAAAGCCUGCUUCAUGUCAGAGUCUCUAAACUCCAGAAGAAGUCGAUAAAAGUCCCUUUCUUUCUAAAUAAAAGUCGUUAGGGGGUCUGAAAAGUAAUUGAAUCUAACAACAAAGUCGCUAGGUUUGCAACUACGUGUCCCAGACUGCAUCCCUGCUGAGAGUCCCUCCCUCCCUUCUCAUGUUGCAGGAAGAACGUAAGCGCCCGCCCCUUGUCAAUCAGUCACCAUAUAAUUUUGGAUUGGUUGUUGUGGUGAAGUUUUCCACCAAUAGGAGAGAUGUUGUAGUGUGUUUUUUUUUUCUUUUGGCAAGCCUUUUCCGCCUGUAAGACCUGUCGCUAAUGUGUGCAUGCUAUGUUUUCCUGUCUCAUACAGCGCGAUCGAGCGCCGAACGUGAUCAAAAUAAGCAGAAAAAAAGUAUCGCGGACAUAAUUUAUCAUAACUCUGGUUUUAUUUGGCCUAUCAACACAAUUUAAAAACUGGUAUAUAGGUUGAGGUCCUCACUUUUGAGAUAAGUUGAAACGGAGAGUUAACGAGGCUCCGUCUUGCAGCUACAUCCGGUUAAAUAUGUCAUGUGACUUGAACGCUGGGGAGCGUCAAUCGAAUCGAAUCAAACCUAACUCUCAGAUGAAUCUUCAAAAUUCACCUCAGAAAUAUGCUUAUUAUUCUUCUCAGAGUACUGCAGGAUACACACACACACACAGACACACACACACACACACACACACACACACUCAGAGUCUGUUUUUUAGCACCUGCAAAAACAUGCUAUUUACAUAUUUGACAAGAAUGCAGAGGCUUCCUUUUGCCCCUGAAAAAAAUCAAAUUUCAAACACAACUUGACUGCUCAUUUCUCCAAAAGACAACCAUGAAGCUCCAUCCAAACCUGAAGCAGGCAGUUGGUGCAUGUGUACAGUAACCUGAGGGGAGUGAGGUGACUGCUUCUGAGGAGAACAUGAGCAGUGAAGAUUCACCUUGGAGCUAGAACAGAGACAUGCACAUGAUUAUACAGGGGCAGGGGCUCAAGUUUUUUCCAGUCAUUUAUACAAUAUGGAAAUUAAUGUGAAAUUAAAAACAAAGUAUUAAUAGAAAUUUAAUGACUGUCCUGUGUAGGUGACAGUGAUAUCCAAUAGGCUAGGCACUCACGAGGCUGGCUGUUGCAAGAUUAAGUGAAAGCAACACGCACUGGCAGGAAGAACAGCAAACACCGAUGAAGGAAAAGGGUCUUUGCAGUGAUGGGCGUUACCAGAGAGGGAGAUGGCCAGAGGACGCGAAUGGGACGGGGAGGCAGCGCGUUGGGGGGGGGGGGGGGCGGGGGGGGGUUGGGGGCCACACGGCUCGGGCCCGCCAGUGCCCCAACGGGGCCCUAGUUAUUUUUCCUCCCCUUUGAACUGGAAAAUGGCCCACUUCCUACUGGCGAAAACUCAUGAAAUUUGGCAGGACGACCGGGCCUGGUGAAAAAUUUGAUAUUCCGAAGUCGCCCAAACAAGAAAAUGCAAAAUGGCUCCAUAGCGCCCCCUAAGGUGAAAAUUCACACUAUUGACUGUCACACGUGUACGCUUUGUCAAAAUGACACAAAAAUUGACACACACAUGUAUCUUAAUACGAUCUACGAAAAAGUCAAUGCGAGCGUAUCUGUUCAAUGUACGGUUAAAAUCAGUGCGGGCGUAUCUGUCAAAUGUACGGUUAAAGGGUUAUUUCGCAUUUUUUGCCGAUCCGCACACAUUGGAAUUUCGCUAACUCCUCCGAAGGCUUUCGUCCCACUGACACCAAAUUUGCUCAGGCCAAUCUACACCCCAUGGCCAUUCAAAGUUGUAAAAAUCAUGACGCUGCACCCCACGGUUUACGUUCUAGGGGGCGCCAAAGAUGACCCAAAAAUCCACAGUCUUAAAAGUCUUAUAACUUUUUAUUUUUGUCCUCACUGGCCUCCAAGUUCUCUAGGAUGAUGCAAUGUCCAGCCAUCAACACAUUUGUGAAGGAAUUUUUACUCCCCAAAAGAGCGCCCCCCAAUGGCAGGAGAAAAAAGUCCAUUUUUUCUUGUCUCCUAAGGCGAAAAUACACAUUGUUGACUGUCACGCCUUUACGCUUUGUCAAAAUGACACAAAAAUUGACACACACAUGUAUCUUAAUACGAUCUACGAAAAAGUCAAUGCGAGCGUAUCUGUUCAAUGUACGGUUAAAGGGCUAUUUCGCAUUUUUUGCCGAUCCGCACACAUUGGAAUUUCGCUAACUCCUCCGAAGGCUUUCGUUCCACCGGCACCACAUUUGCUCAGGCCAAUCUACACCCCAUGGCCAUUAAAAGUUAUUCAAAUCAUGACGCUGCACCCCACGGUUUAGGUUCUAGGGGGCGCCAAAGAUAACCCUAAAAUCCACAUAUUUAAAAGUCUUAUAACUUUUUAUUUUUGUCCUCACUGGCCUCCAAGUUUUCUAGGAUGAUGCAAUGUCCAGCCAUCAACACAUUUGUGAAGGAAUUUUUACUCCCCAAAAGAGCGCCCCCCCAUGGCAGGAGAAAAAAGUCAAUUUUUUCUUGUCCCCUAAGGUGGAAAUUCACACUAUUGACUGUCACGCCUGUACGCUUUAUCAUAUUGACACAAAAAUUGACACACAUAUGUAUCUCAAUAAGAUCUACAAAAAAGUCAAUGCGCGCGUAUCUGUCAAAUGUACGGUUAAAGGGCUAUUUUGCAUUUUUUGCCGAUUCGCACACAUUGGAAUGUGGCUAACUCCUCCUAAGGCUUUCGUCCCACUGACACCAAAUUUGCUCAGGCCAAUCUACACCCCAUGGCCAUUCAAAGUUGUAAAAAUCAUGACGCUGCACCCCACGGUUUACGUUCUAGGGGGCGCCAAAGAUGACCCAAAAAUCCACAUUCUUAAAAGAAUCCCCCCCCCCCCCCCCCCCCCCCCAAGGCAGGAGAAAAAGUCAAGUUAACCCUGCCCAUCGCUCAAUGGCUCAAUCGCAUCGCUCUCCAGGCAACACCGUAAGGAGGAGCAACCUGCCAUUUCGAUAUAUCAUAGCUGUGUUUGUGCCCUCACUCAUGGUCCAGACUUUUUUCAAAUAGGACAUGAAGUUUGUCUGCAGCGAGUGUUUUGGUAGAAACUGCGCCUCCCAUUCAUUAUAAUGGGAAAUGACCACAGACAAGUGCGCACAUCAUCUUUGGACCUUGAGUGUGACGCGAUCGUGAGGGGGAGGCGGUCGCGCUGGGGGCGGCGCGACGCGGCUCGGGCCCGACAGUGCCCCACCGGGGCCCUAGUUAUUAUUUUUCCUCCCCUUUGAACUGGAAAAUGGCCCACUUCCCACUGGCGAAAACUCAUGAAAUUUGGCAGGACGACCGGGCCUGGUGAAAAAUUUGAUAUUCCGAAGUCGCCCAAACAAGAAAAUGCAAAAUGGCUCCAUAGCGCCCCCUAAGGUGAAAAAUUCACCUGACGCCUGUACGCUUUGUCAAAAUGACACAAAAAUUGACACACACAUGUAUCUCAAUAAGAUCUACAAAAAAGUCAGUGCGGGCGUAUCUGUCAAAUGUACGGUUAAAGGGUUAUUGCGCAUUUUUUGCCGAUCCGCACACAUUGGAAUUUCGCUAACUCCUCCGAAGGCUUUCGUUCCACCGGCACCACAUUUGCUCAGGCCAAUCUACACCCCAUGGCCAUUAAAAGUUAUUCAAAUCAUGACGCUGCACCCCACGGUUUAGGUUCUAGGGGGCGCCAAAGAUAACACUAAAAUCCACAUAUUUCAAAGUCUUAUAACUUUUUAUUUUUGUCCUCACUGGCCUCCAAGUUUUCUAGGAUGAUGCAAUGUCCAGCCAUCAACACAUUUGUGAAGGAAUUUUUACUCCCCAAAAGAGCGCCCCCCCAUGGCAGGAGAAAAAAGUCCAUUUUUUCUUGUCCCCUAAGGUGAAAAUACACAUUGUUGAGUGUCACGCCUGUACGCUUUGUCAAAAUGACACAAAAAUUGACACACACAUGUAUCUCAAUAAGAUCUACAAAAAAGUCAAUGGGCGCGUAUCUGUCAAAUGUACGGUUAAAGGGUUAUUCUGCAUUUUUUGCCGAUUCGCACACAUUGGAAUUUCGCUAACUCCUCCGAAGGCUUUCGUUCCACCGGCACCACAUUUGCUCAGGCCAAAUUACACCCCAUGGCCAUUAAAAGUUAUUCAAAUCAUGACGCUGCACCCCACGGUUUACGUUCUAGGGGGCGCCAAAGAUAACCCAAAAAUCCAAAUUUUUAAAAGUCUUAUAACUUUUUAUUUUUGUCCUCACUGGCCUCCAAGUUUUCUAGGAUGAUGCAAUGUCCAGCCAUCAACACAUUUGUGAAGGAAUUUUUACUCCCUAAAAGAGCGCCCCCCCAUGGCAGGAGAAAAAAGUCCAUUUUUUCUUGUCCCCUAAGGUGAAAAUACACAUUGUUGACUGUCACGCCUGUACGCUUUGGCAAAAUGACACAAAAAUUGACAAUCAUGUGUAUCGCAAUUAGAUCUACGAAAAAGUCAAGAGCGCGUAUCUGUAUAAUGUACGGUAAAAGGGCUAUUUUGCAUUUUUUGCCGAUUCGCACAUAUUGGAAUUUCGCUAACUCCUCCUAAGGCUUUCGUCCCACUGACACCAAAUUUGCUCAGGCCAAUCUACACUCCAUGGCCAUUCAAAGUUGUAAAAAUCAUGACGCGGCACCCCACGGUUUACGUUUUAGGGGGCGCCAAAGAUGACCCAAAUAUACAUUACAGUAGACAAAGUAGUUUUGCCCACUGAGUGGCGCCAAAGGGACUUGUCUGUGGAGUCUGUGAGUCACUAUUGGCCGUUUUUGACUACUUUAGAUUUUACCUUUAUAUUUCCUCUUACAAAAUUUUUACCUUGCCUUGCCUGGUAUCAUUUUUUUCAGCACAACCUCACCUGUGUCAAUUUACAGUUAUUUUAUCAUUUUGACAUACUAUAUUUACACAUUGGACCCAAAUUCACACACAAAACAUAAAAUCCGAGUGGAAAAAAGUAACGUUUUUACUGUGAAAACCACAAAUAUGUGUGAUGAACUGUUUUUAAAACUUAAACUUCAAAUAAAAAUUGUAAACUUCAAAACAUAUGCAAAUUUUUAACAAAGAACAUAGUAAUUUACCUCUAUUUACAUCAAAAUGCAGGCAAUGGCCCAGGUGUUCUUUGUAAAAUUAUUUACAAAACACUGUAUAGUCUCACAAAUGUCACUUUUUAUUUAUGCCACUACAAAAAAACAUGAUGUAAAUGAUGCAUGAUGUAAAACAUGAUGUAAAAAACUUGUGUAGAUCCUCCUCUAUGUCAGUCCAUGUGUAAUUUUUCCAUAAUUCUUUGUUUUUUGCAGCAUUUUUGUUAGUGUAACUGCAGAUUGUGCUGACAGUGUCUAUGGCAAAAAAAAAAAAAAAACUGAAAAUGCCUCAACAUGAACCCCUGGUGGUCUCUGAGGGUGAAACCUGCUAACUGCUGCAGCUCUGUCAGCUUCAGUCUCCCAUGCAGAGCUCGGAGCGCAUGUGUGGCUCUGCACCCUUAGCAGCGUUGCUAACUCCUCAGUAAGGAAAGCCUGCUUCAUGUCAGAGUCUCUAAACUCCAGAAGAAGUCGAUAAAAGUCACUUUCUUUCUAAAAAAAAGUCGUUAGGGGGUCUGAAAAGUCAUUGAAUCUAACAACAAAGUCGCUAGGUUUGCAACUACGUGUCCCAGACUGCAUCCCUGCUGAGAGUCCCUCCCUCCCUUCUCAUAUUGCAGGAAGAACGUAAGCGCCCGCCCCUUGUCAAUCAGUCACCAUAUAAUUUUGGAUUGGUUGUUGUGGUGAAGUUUUCCACCAAUAGGAGAGAUGUUGUGGUGUGUUUUUUUUUUCCUUUGGCAAGCCUUUUCCGCCUGUAAGACCUGUCGCUAAUGUCUGCAUGCUAUGUUUUCCUGUCUCAUACAGCGCGAUCGAGCGCCGAACGUGAUCAAAAUAAGCAGAAAAAAAGUAUCGCGGACAUAAUUUAUCAUAACUCUGGUUUUAUUUGGCCUAUCAACACAAUUUAAAAACUGGUAUAUAGGUUGAGGUCCUCACUUUUAAGAUAAGUUGAAACGGAGAGUCAACGAGGCUCCGUCUUGCAGCUACAUCCGGUUAAAUAUGUCAUGUGACUUGAACGCACACACACACACACACACACACACACACACACACACACACACACACACACACACACACACAGACACACACACACACGCACACACACACACUCAGAGUCUGGUUUUUAGCACCUGCAAAAACAUGCUAUUUACAUAUUUGACAAGAAUGCAGAGGCUCCUUUUGCCCCUGAAAAAAAUCAAAUUUCAAACACAACUUGACUGGUCAUUUCUCCAAAAGACAACCAUGAAGCUCCAUCCAAACCUGAAGCAGGCAGUUGAUGCAUGUGUACAGUAACCUGAGGGGAGUGAGGUGACUGCUUCUGAGGAGAACAUGAGCAGUGAAGAUUCACCUUAGAGCUAGAACAGAGACGUGCACAUGAUUAUACAGGGGCAGGGGCUCAAGUUUUUACCAGUUGUUUAUACAAUAUGGAAAUUAAUGUGAAAUUAAAAAACAAAGUAUUAAUAGAAAGGUAAUGACUGUCCUGUGUAGGUGACAGUGAUAUCCAAUAGGCUAGGCACUCAAGAGGCUGGCUGUGGCAAGUGUAAGUGAAAGCAACACGCACUGGCAGGAAGAACAGCAAACGCCGAUGAAGGAAAAGGGUCUUUGCAGUGAUGGGCGUUACCAGAGAGGGCGAUGGCCAGAGGACACAAAUGGGACGGGGAGGCAGCGCGUUGGGGGGGGGACGCGACACAGCUCGGGCCCGCCAGUGCCCCAACGGGGUCCUAGUUCUUUAGGGCCCGAGCCAGCUGCAGAGCAGCCGGGCGUAGGCCCUAUUAUACCCCAAGUGGUUUUUCUUUGUUUCUUUCUUUCUUUCUUUCUUUCUUCUUUUUCCUCCCCUUUGAACUGGAAAAUGGCCCACUUCCCACUGGCGAAAACUCAUGAAAUUUGGCAGGACGACCGGGCCUGGUGAAAAAUUCGAUAUUCUGAAGUCGCCCAAACAAUAAAAUGCAAAAUGGCUCCAUAGCGCCCCCUAAGGUGGAAAUUCACACUAUUGACUGUCACGCCUGUACGCUUUGUCAUAUUGACACAAAAAUUGACACACAUAUGUAUCUCAAUAAGAUCUACAAAAAAGUCAGUGCGGCCGUAUCUGUCAAAUGUACGGUUAAAGGGUUAUUCCGCAUUUUUUUCCGAUCCGCACACAUUGGAAUUUCGCUAACUCCUCCGAAGGCUUUCGUUCCACCGGCACCACAUUUGCUCAGGACAAUCUACACCCUGUGGCCAUUAAAAGUUAUCAAAAUCAUGACGCUGCACCCCAAGGUUUAGGUUCUAGGGGGCGCCAAAGAUAACACUAAAAUCCACAUAUUUAAAAGUCUUAUAACUUUUUAUUUUUGUCCUCACUGGCCUCCAAGUUUUCUAGGAUGAUGCAAUGUCCAGCCAUCAACACAUUUGUGAAGGAAUUUUUACUCCCCAAAAGAGCGCCCCCCAUGGCAGGAGAAAAAAGUCCAUUUUUUCUUGUCCCCUAAGGUGAAAAUACACAUUGUUGAGUGUCACGCCUAUACGCUUUGUCAAAAUGACACAAAAAUUGACACACACAUGUAUCUCAAUAAGAUCUACGAAAAAGUCAAUGCGCGCGUAUCUGUCAAAUGUACGGUUAAAGGGUUAUUCCGCAUUUUUUGGUGAUCCGCACACAUUGGAAUGUGGCUAACUCCUCCUAAGGCUUUCGUUCCACCGGCACCACAUUUGCUCAGGACAAUCUACACCCCAUGGCCAUUAAAAGUUAUUCAAAUCAUGACGCUGCACCCCACGGUUUAGGUUCUAGGGGGCGCCAAAGAUAACCCUAAAAUCCACAUAUUUAAAAGUCUUAUAACUUUUUAUUUUUGUCCUCACUGGCCUCCAAGUUUUCUAGGAUGAUGCAAUGUCCAGCCAUCAACACAUUUGUGAAGGAAUUUUUACUCCCCAAAAGAGCGCCCCCCCAUGGCAGGAGAAAAAAGUCCAUUUUUUCUUGUCCCCUAAGGUGAAAAUACAUAUUGUUGAGAUUCACGCCUAUACGCUUUGUCAUAUUGACACAAAAUUUGACAAUCACGUGCCUUGCCUGGUAUCAUUUUUUUCAGCACAACCUCACCUGUGCGAAUUUACAGUUAUUUUAUCAUGUUGACAUACUGAAUUUACACAAUGGACCCAAAUUCACACACAAAACAUAAAAUCCGAGUGGAAAAAAGUAACAUUUUUACUGUGAAAACCACAAAUAUGUGUGAUGAACUGUUUUUAAAACUUAAACUUCAAAUAAAAAUUGUAAACUUCAAAACAUAUGCAAAUUUUUAACAAAGAACAUAGUGAUUUACCUCUAUUUUCAUCAAAAUGCAGGCAAUGGCCCAGGCGUUCUUUGUAAAAUUAUUUACAAAACACUGUAUAGUCUCACAAAUGUCACUUUUUAUUUAUGCCACUACAAAAAAACAUGAUGUAAAUGAUGCAUGAUGUAAAACAUGAUGUAAAAAACUUGUGUAGAUCCUCCUCUAUGUCAGUCCAUGUGUAAUUUUUCCAUAAUUCUUUGUUUUUUGCAGCAUUUUUGUUAGUGUAACUGCAGAUUGUGCUGACAGUGUCUAUGGCACAAAAAAAUAAAAAUUAAAAUGCCUCAACAUGAACCCCUGGUGGUCUCUGAGGGUGAAACCUGCUAACUGCUGCAGCUCUGUCAGCUUCAGUCUCCCAUGCAGAGCUCGGAGCGCAUGUGUGGCUCUGCACCCUAAGCAGUGUUGCUAACUCCUCAGUAAGGAAAGCCUGCUUCAUGUCAGAGUCUCUAAACUCCAGAAGAAGUCGAUAAAAGUCCCUUUCUUUCUAAAAAAAGUCGUUAGGGGGUCUGAAAAGUCAUUGAAUCUAACAACAAAGUCGCUAGGUUUGCAACUACGUGUCCCAGACUGCAUCCCUGCUGAGAGUCCCUCCCUCCCUUCUCAUAUUGCAGGAAGAACGUAAGUUCCCGCCCCUUGUCAAUCAGUCACCAUAUAAUUUUGGAUUGGUUGUUGUGGUGAAGUUUUCCACCAAUAGGAGAGAUGUUGUGGUGUGUUUUUUUUUUCCUUUGGCAAGCCUUUUCCGCCUGUAAGACCUGUCGCUAAUGUCUGCAUGCUAUGUUUUCCUGUCUCAUACAGCGCGAUCGAGCGCCGAACGUGAUCAAAAUAAGCAGAAAUAAGUAUUGCGGACAUAAUUUAUCAUAACUCUGGUUUUAUUUGGCCUAUCAACACAAUUUAAAAACUGGUAUAUAGUUUGAGGUCCUCACUUUUAAGAUAAGUUGAAACGAAGAAUCAACGAGGCUCCGUCUUGCAGCUACAUCCGGUUAAAUAUGUCAUGUGACUUGAACGCUGGGGAGCGUCAAUCGAAUCGAAUCAAACCUAACUCUCAGAUGAAUCUUCAAAAUUCACCUCAGAAAUAUGCUUAUUAUUCUUCUCAGAGUACUGCAGGAUACACACACACACAGACACACACACACACACGCACACACACUCAGAGUCUGUUUUUUAGCACCUGCAAACACAUGCUAUUUACAUAUUUGACAAGAAUGCAGAGGCUUUCUUUUGCCUCUGAAAAAAAUCAAAUUUCAAACACAACUUGACUGCUCAUUUCUCCAAAAGACAACCAUGAAGCUCCAUCCAAACCUGAAGCAGGCAGUUGGUGCAUGUGUACAGUAACCUGAGGGGAGUGAGGUGACUGCUUCUGAGGAGAACAUGAGCAGUGAAGAUUCACCUUGGAGCUAUAACAGGGCCGGCACAUGAUUAUACAGGGGCAGGGGCUCAAGUUUUUUCCAGUCGUUUAUACAAUAUGGAAAUUAAUGUGAAAUUAAAAAACAAAGUAUUAAUAGAAAGGUAAUGACUGUCCUGUGUAGGUGACAGUGAUAUCCAAUAGGCUAGGCACUCACGAGGCUGGCUGUGGCAAGUGUAAGUGAAAGCAACACGCACUGGCAGGAAGAACAGCAAACGCCGAUGAAGGAAAAGGGUCUUUGCAGUGAUGGGCGUUACCAGAGAGGGCGAUGGCCAGAGGACGCGAAUGGGACGGGGAGGCAGCGCGUUGGGGGGGGGCGCGACACGGCUCGGGCCCGCCAGUGCCCCAACGGGGCCCUAGUUAGGGCCCGAGCCAGCUGCAGAGCAGCCGGGCGUAGAGCCCUAUUAUUCCUGAUGAGUUUUUGUUUCUUCUUUCUUUCUUUCUUUCUUUCUUUCUUCUUAUUUUUCCUCCCCUUUGAAGGGAAAAAUGGCCCACUUCCCACUGGCGAAAACUCAUGAAAUUUGGCAGGACGACCGGGCCUGGUGAAAAAUUCGAUAUUCUGAAGUCGCCCAAACAAUAAAAUGCAAAAUGGCUCCAUAGCGCCCCCUAAGGUGAAAAUUCACACUAUUGACUGUCACGCCUGUACGCUUUGUCAUAUUGACACAAAAAUUGACACACACAUGUAUCUCAAUAAGAUCUACAAAAAAGUCAGCGCGGGCGUAUCUGUCAAAUGUACGGUUAAAGGGUUAUUUCGCAUUUUUUGCCGAUCCGCACACAUUGGAAUUUCGCUAACUCCUCCGAAGGCUUUCGUUCCACCGGCACCACAUUUGCUCAGGCCAAUCUACACCCCAUGGCCAUUAAAAGUUGUACAAAUCAUGCCGCUGCACCCCACGGUUUAGGUUCUAGGGGACGCCAAAGAUAACCCAAAAAUCCACAGUCUUAAAAGUCUUAUAACUUUUUAUUUUUGUCCUCACUGGCCUCCAAGUUCUCUAGGAUGAUGCAAUGUCCAGCCAUCAACACAUUUGUGAAGGAAUUUUUACUCGCCAAAAGAGCGCCCCCCCAUGGCAGGAGAAAAAAGUCCAUUUUUUCUUGUCCCCUAAGGCGAAAAUACACAUUGUUGAGUGUCACGCCUAUACGCUUUGUCAUAUUGACACAAAAUUUGAGAAUCACGUGUAUCUCAAUAAGAUCUACGAAAAAGUCAAUGCGCGCGUAUCUGUAAAAUGUACGUUUAAAGGGCUAUUUCGCAUUUUUUGCCGAUUCGCACACAUUGGAAUGUGGCUAACUCCUCCUAAGGCUUUCGUUCCACUGACACCAAAUUUUCUCAGGCCAAUCUACACCCCAUGGCCAUUCAAAGUUGUAAAAAUCAUGACGCUGCACCCCACGGUUUACGUUCUAGGGGGCGCCAAAGAGGACCCAAAUAUCCACAUAUUUAAAAGUCUUAUAACUUUUUAUUUUUGUCCUCACUGGCCUCCAAGUUUUCUAGGAUGAUGCAAUGUCCAGCCAUCAACACAUUUGUGAAGGAAUUUUUUCUCCCCAAAAGAGCGCCCCCCCAUGGCCGGAGAAAAAGUCAAGUUUUUCCUGCCCAUCGCUCAAUGGCUCAAACGCAUCGCUCUCUCAGCAAAACCGAAAGGAGGAGCAACUUGCCAUUUGGAUAUAUCUUAGCUGUGUUUGUGCCCUCACUCAUGGUCCAGACUUUUUUCAAAAAGGACAUGGAGUUUGUCUGCAGCGAGCAUUUUGGUAGAAACUGCGCCUCCCAUUCAUUAUAAUGGUAAAUGACCACAGACAAGUGCGCACACCAUCUUUGAACCUUGAGUGUGACGCGAUCGGGAGGGGUAGGCGGUCGCGCUGGGGGCGGCGCGACACGGCUCGGGCCCGCCAGUGCCCCACCGGGGCCCUAGUUAUUAUUUUUCCUCCGCUUUAAACUGGAAAAUGGCCCACUUCCCACUGGCGAAAACUCAGGAAAUUUGGCAGGACGACCGGGCCUGGUGAAAAAUUCGAUAUUCUGAAGUCGCCCAAACAAUAAAAUGCAAAAUGGCUCCAUAGCGCCCCCUAAGGUGAAAAUUCACAUGACGGCUGUACGCUUUGUCAUAUUGACACAAAAAUUGACACACAUAUGUAUCUCAAUAAGAUCUACAAAAAAGUCAGUGCGGGCGUAUCUGUCAAAUGUACGGUUUAUGGGUUAUUUUGCAUUUUUUGCAGAUCUGCACACAUUGGAAUUUCGCUAUCUCCUCCGAAGGCUUUCGUUCGACCGGCACCACAUUUGCUCAGGCCAAUCUACCCCCCAUGGCCAUUAAAAGUUGUACAAAUCAUGACGCUGCACCCCACGGUUUACGUUAUAGGGGGCGCCAAAGAUAACCCAAAAUCCACAUUCUUAAAAGUCUUAUAACUUUUUAUUUUUGUCCUCACUGCCCUCCAAGUUUUCUAGGAUGAUGCAAUGUCCAGCCAUCAACACAUUUGUGAAGGAAUUUUUACUCCCCAAAAGAGCGCCCCCCCAUGGCAGGAGAAAAAAGUCAAUUUUUUCUUGUCCCCUUACAUGAAAAUACACAUUGUUGAGUGUCACGCCUGAACGCUUUGUCAUAUUGACACAAAAAUUGACAAUCAUGUGUAUCUCAAUUAGAUCUACGAAAAAGUCAAUGCGCGCGUAUCUGUAUAAUGUACGGUUAAAGGGCUAUUUCGCAUUUUUUGCCGAUCCGCACACAUUGGAAUGUGGCUAUCUCCUCCUAAGGCUUUCGUCCCACCAAUACCAAAUUUGCUCAGGGCAAUCUACACCACAUGGCCAUUCAAAGUUGUAAAAAUCAUGACGCUGCACCCCACGGUUUACGUUCUAGGGGGCGCCAAAGAUGACCCAAAAAUCCACAUUCUUAAAAGUCAUUUUGGCCACUGCAGGAGUACAGAGUACUGCAGUUCUAGGGGGCGCCAAAGAUGACCCAAAAAUCCACAUUCUUAAAAGUCUUUUUGGCCACUGCAGGAGUACAGAGUACUGCAGGAUACACACACAUAUACACACACACACACACACACACACACACACACACACACACACACACACACACACACACACACUCAGAGUCUGUUUUUUAGCACCUGCAAAAACAUGCUGUUUACAUAUUUGACAAGAAUGCAGAGGCUUCCUUUUGCCCCUGAAAAAAAGCAAAUUUCAAACACAACUUGACUGUUCAUUUCUCCAAAACACAACCAUGAAGCUCCAUCCAAACCUGAAGCAGAUAGUUGGUGCAUGUGUACAGUAACCUGAGGGGAGUGAGGUGACUAUUUCUGAGGAGAACAUGAGCAGUGAAGAUUCACCUUGGAGCUAGAACAGGGACGUGCACAUGAUUAUACAGGGGCAGGGGCUCAAGUUUUUUCCAGUCAUUUAUACAAUAUGGAAAUUAAUGUGAAAUUAAACCACAAAUAUGUGUGAUGAACUGUUUUUAAAACUUAAACUUCAAAUAAAAAUUGUAAACUUCAAAACAUAUGCAAAUUUUUAACAAAGAACAUAGUAAUUUACCUCUAUUUACAUCAAAAUGCAGGCAAUGGCCCAGGCGUUCUUUGUAAAAUUAUUUACAAAACACUGUAUAGUCUCACAAAUGUCACUUUUUAUUUAUGCCACUACAAAAAAACAUGAUGUAAAUGAUGCAUGAUGUAAAACAUGAUGUAAAAAACUUGUGUAGAUCCUCCUCUAUGUCAGUCCAUGUGUAAUUUUUCCAUAAUUCUUUGUUUUUUGCAGCAUUUUUGUUAGUGUAACUGCAGAUUGUGCUGACAGUCUAUGGCAAAAAAAACAAAAACUGAAAAUGCCUCAACAUGAACCCCUGGUGGUCUCUGAGGGUGAAACCUGCUAACUGCUGCAGCUCUGUCAGCUUCAGUCUCCCAUGCAGAGCUCGGAGCGCAUGUGUGGCUCUGCACCCUUAGCAGCGUUGCUAACUCCUCAGUAAGGAAAGCCUGCUUCAUGUCAGAGUCUCUAAACUCCAGAAGAAGUCGAUAAAAGUCCCUUUCUUUCUAAAUAAAAGUCGUUAGGGGGUCUGAAAAGUAAUUGAAUCUAACAACAAAGUCGCUAGGUUUGCAACUACGUGUCCCAGACUGCAUCCCUGCUGAGAGUCCCUCCCUCCCUUCUCAUGUUGCAGGAAGAACGUAAGCGCCCGCCCCUUGUCAAUCAGUCACCAUAUAAUUUUGGAUUGGUUGUUGUGGUGAAGUUUUCCACCAAUAGGAGAGAUGUUGUAGUGUGUUUUUUUUUUCUUUUGGCAAGCCUUUUCCGCCUGUAAGACCUGUCGCUAAUGUGUGCAUGCUAUGUUUUCCUGUCUCAUACAGCGCGAUCGAGCGCCGAACGUGAUCAAAAUAAGCAGAAAAAAAGUAUCGCGGACAUAAUUUAUCAUAACUCUGGUUUUAUUUGGCCUAUCAACACAAUUUAAAAACUGGUAUAUAGGUUGAGGUCCUCACUUUUGAGAUAAGUUGAAACGGAGAGUCAACGAGGCUCCGUCUUGCAGCUACAUCCGGUUAAAUAUGUCAUGUGACUUGAACGCUGGGGAGCGUCAAUCGAAUCGAAUCAAACCUAACUCUCAGAUGAAUCUUCAAAAUUCACCUCAGAAAUAUGCUUAUUAUUCUUCUCAGAGUACUGCAGGAUACACACACACACACAGACACACACACACACACACACACACACACACACACACUCAGAGUCUGUUUUUUAGCACCUGCAAAAACAUGCUAUUUACAUAUUUGACAAGAAUGCAGAGGCUUCCUUUUGCCCCUGAAAAAAAUCAAAUUUCAAACACAACUUGACUGCUCAUUUCUCCAAAAGACAACCAUGAAGCUCCAUCCAAACCUGAAGCAGGCAGUUGGUGCAUGUGUACAGUAACCUGAGGGGAGUGAGGUGACUGCUUCUGAGGAGAACAUGAGCAGUGAAGAUUCACCUUGGAGCUAGAACAGAGACAUGCACAUGAUUAUACAGGGGCAGGGGCUCAAGUUUUUUCCAGUCAUUUAUACAAUAUGGAAAUUAAUGUGAAAUUAAAAACAAAGUAUUAAUAGAAAUUUAAUGACUGUCCUGUGUAGGUGACAGUGAUAUCCAAUAGGCUAGGCACUCACGAGGCUGGCUGUUGCAAGAUUAAGUGAAAGCAACACGCACUGGCAGGAAGAACAGCAAACACCGAUGAAGGAAAAGGGUCUUUGCAGUGAUGGGCGUUACCAGAGAGGGAGAUGGCCAGAGGACGCGAAUGGGACGGGGAGGCAGCGCGUUGGGGGGGGGGGGGGGGGGGGGGGGGGUUGGGGGCCACACGGCUCGGGCCCGCCAGUGCCCCAACGGGGCCCUAGUUAUUUUUCCUCCCCUUUGAACUGGAAAAUGGCCCACUUCCUACUGGCGAAAACUCAUGAAAUUUGGCAGGACGACCGGGCCUGGUGAAAAAUUUGAUAUUCCGAAGUCGCCCAAACAAGAAAAUGCAAAAUGGCUCCAUAGCGCCCCCUAAGGUGAAAAUUCACACUAUUGACUGUCACACGUGUACGCUUUGUCAAAAUGACACAAAAAUUGACACACACAUGUAUCUUAAUACGAUCUACGAAAAAGUCAAUGCGAGCGUAUCUGUUCAAUGUACGGUUAAAAUCAGUGCGGGCGUAUCUGUCAAAUGUACGGUUAAAGGGUUAUUUCGCAUUUUUUGCCGAUCCGCACACAUUGGAAUUUCGCUAACUCCUCCGAAGGCUUUCGUUCCACCGGCACCACAUUUGCUCAUGCCAAUCUACACCCCAUGGCCAUUAAAAGUUAUUCAAAUCAUGACGCUGCACCCCACGGUUUAGGUUCUAGGGGGCGCCAAAGAUAACCCUAAAAUCCACAUAUUUAAAAGUCUUAUAACUUUUUAUUUUUGUCCUCACUGGCCUCCAAGUUUUCUAGGAUGAUGCAAUGUCCAGCCAUCAACACAUUUGUGAAGGAAUUUUUACUCCCCAAAAGAGCGCCCCCCCAUGGCAGGAGAAAAAAGUCAAUUUUUUCUUGUCCCCUAAGGUGGAAAUUCACACUAUUGACUGUCACGCCUGUACGCUUUAUCAUAUUGACACAAAAAUUGACACACAUAUGUAUCUCAAUAAGAUCUACAAAAAAGUCAAUGCGCGCGUAUCUGUCAAAUGUACGGUUAAAGGGUUAUUGCGCAUUUUUUGCCGAUCCCCACACAUUGGAAUUUCGCUAACUCCUCCGAAGGCUUUCGUUCCACCGGCACCACAUUUGCUCAGGCCAAUCUACACCCCAUGGCCAUUAAAAGUUAUUCAGAUCAUGACGCUGCACCCCACGGUUUAGGUUCUAGGGGGCGCCAAAGAUAACCCUAAAAUCCACAUAUUUAAAAGUCUUAUAACUUUUUAUUUUUGCCCUCACUGGCCUCCAAGUUUUCUAGGAUGAUGCAAUGUCCAGCCAUCAACACAUUUGUGAAGGAAUUUUUACUCCCCAAAAGAGCGCCCCCCCCAUGGCAGGAGAAAAAAGUCCAUUUUUUCUUGUCCCCUAAGGUGAAAAUACACAUUGUUGAGUGUCACGCCUGUACGCUUUGUCAUAUUGACACAAAAUUUGAAACACACAUGUAUCUCAAUAAGAUCUACGAAAAAGUCAAUGCGCGCGUAUCUGUCAAAUGUACGGUUAAAGGGUUAUUCCGCAUUUUUUGCUGAUCCGCACACAUUGGAAUUUCGCUAACUCCUCCUAAGGCUUUCGUUCCACCGGCACCACAUUUGCUCAGGCCAAUCUACACCCCAUGGCCAUUAAAAGUUAUUCAAAUCAUGACGCUGCACCCCACGGUUUAGGUUCUAGGGGGCGCCAAAAAUAACCCUAAAAUCCACAUAUUUAAAAGUCUUAAGUUUUUAUUUUUGUCCUCACUGGCCUCCAAGUUUUCUAGGAUGAUGCAAUGUCCAGCCAUCAACACAUUUGUGAAGGAAUUUUUACUCCCCAAAAGAGCGCCCCCCCAUGGCAGGAGAAAAAAGUCCAUUUUUUCUUGUCCCCUAAGGUGAAAAUACACAUUGUUGAGUGUCACGCCUGUACGCUUUGGCAAAAUGACACAAAAAUUGACACAUACAUGUAUCUCAAUAAGAUCUACGAAAAAGUCAAUGCGCGCGUAUCUGUCAAAUGUACGGUUAAAGGGUUAUUCUGCAUUUUUUGCUGAUCCGCACACAUUGGAAUGUGGCUAACUCCUCCUAAGGCUUUCGUCCCACUGAAACCAAAUUUGCUCAGGCCAAUCUACACCCCAUGGCCAUUCAAAGUUGUAAAAAUCAUGACGCUGCACCCUACGGUUUACGUUCUAGGGGGCGCCAAAGAUGACCAAAAAAUCGACAUUCUUAAAAGAAUCCACAUUCUCCCCCCCCAUAGCACGAGAAAAAGUCAAGUUUUUCCUGCCCAUCGCUCAAUGGCUCAAUCGCAUCGCUCUCCAGGCAACACCGUAAGGAGGAGCAACCUGCCAUUUGGAUAUAUCCUAGCUGUGUUUGUGCCCUCACUCAUGGUCCAGAUUUUUUUCAAAUAGGACAUGAAGUUUGUCUGCAGCGAGUGUUUUGGUAGAAACUGCGCCUCCCAUUCAUUAUAAUGGGAAAUGACCACAGACAAGUGCGCACACCAUCUUUGGACCUUGAGUGUGACGCGAUCGGGAGGGGGAGGCGGUCGCGCUGGGGGCGGUGCGACGCGGCUCGGGCCCGACAGUGCCCCACCGGGGCCCUAGUUAUUAUUAUUAUUUUUCCUCCCCUUUAAACUGGAAAAUGG